rnacentral:lncRNA from 1 species
UUUUUUUUUUUUUUUUUUUUUUUAAGUUUUGAAAUUUUUUAUCUUUAAAAAUAUAAAAAUAUUAACUAUUAAAAUGCUAUUAUGGUUAUAAUAAAUUAAAAUUAAAAUUAAAAUGAAAAAUUAAUUUUUACACGAAUUUAAUUUAUAAAUAUAGAAAAAAAUUUGAAUAAAAGUUUAAAAAAUAUUUAGAAAGAAUUUUAAAAAUGAAAUUAAGUUUUUUUUAAAAAAAUAUUAUUUGGUUAAAGGGAAAACCAUAUAUUGUUUUAAAAAAUAUGGGCCUAAAUUUGUAGGCCCAGCACGGCUCGAUUGUUUGGGCCGGGCCGGGCAGGGUCGGGUCGAAUUCUAUAGUUUCCGUGCCGUGCCGAGGUCCCGCCCGUUUUACACCUCUAUAUAAUCGCGUUUGAGUAUAAAAAGGUGAUGAAAGACGGAUUAUACAGAUACAAGUCUGUUUCAUCAUCGAAAAUGACUUAGAAAUACAGAGGCCAGACAAUAUUUUAUUUUAAUCUUCAGUUGAAUGAUCAAAAUGAAAAAUUGGAAUAGUGGAGUUUACUCUAUUACUUUACCCUCAACACCACAUGGCACAACCUAUGUUGAUGAAGCAAAGGGAGUGAAAUAAACAAUUUAAUAAAAAAAUACUUAAAAGAAAAAUAUAAAAUGAUAUGGGAAAAGGAGGUGAAGGGUGUGAUGAUACAUAUAUGGACAAAUACAUGAGGCUCUUCUUUGGAUUUAUCCAUGCAAUGCCAAUUAAGCAUACAGCUGUACACUAGUCCUCAACUCUUCCAAACAUGUUCAUAAAAAUAAAUGAAUAAACAAAUAAAUAAAAAAUAAGAAAUUAAAAAACUUAAAAUAAUUAGGAUAUUUGAAGUAUCUAAAAAAUAAAUAACUUAAACAUAGACGGCUAAAAAUAAAAAUAUUAUAAAAAGUUAUGAUGUAAUACUAAAAUUUCAAUUAGAGAUAUUGAUCUUACUGUAAAUAGCAUAAAAAAUUUUCUAUCAAAAUUUCAUUUGAUUUAAAUACUUCUACACCGUUAAACAUAUAAACGGCACAAAUCAACUAUUAAAAAUUAUUGAUUUUUUAAAAAAAAUUAUAAAAUUUAUUUUUUAGAUAGUUCCAUCAUCGAAAAUGAUAUAGGAGAUGAAAGUCUCCGUAUUCCUAAUAGCACACAAGUUCUACUAUAUAUAUAUAUAUAUAUAGAGAGAGAGAGAGAGAGAGAGUUGAGCUAGAAUACUUUUAGAAGCACCACCCAUUUGGUGCUUCUAAGUUUCUAACCCUUGGAUCUACUCCAUAAUUACUAAUAUCCCUUGGAUCAAACAGUAUUCCACCUACCAUCACCUACCACCAUCAUCUCAACCUCACAUCUCUCCAUUCAAGGGUUAAAAACUCUAAAGCACCACGCACUUGCUGCUUUUGAGAGUAUUCUAGCUCCACCAUAUAUAUAUAUAUAUAUAUAUAUAUAUAUAUAUAUAUAUAAUAUAUAUAUAUAUAUAUAUAGAAUUAGCUGGAAUACUUUUAUAGUAAAAUGAUCUUUUUGCUAUCAAGUUUUUAACCCUUGGAUGAAAAUUGUAGGGUCAGGAUGAUAUUAGUCGGUUAGAGUUGAGUGGUCUCCCCUAGGGUGAGUGGUCCCACUGGGUUAUAGUAUUUAAUCCAAUGGUUAGAAAUAAUGAAAAGAGUUGAUCCAAAGGCUAAAAAACUUAGCAACAAUGGAAUUUUCUACUAAUAGUACCCCAGUCCAACUUCAUAUAUAUAUAUAUAUAUAUAUAUAUAUAUUAUAUAAUAUAGAAUAGGCUAAUAUACUAUUAAUAGCAAAAGUCAUUGGUGUACCAAGUUUUUGGUCAUUAGAUUAAGAGAUGUAUGGUUAGGAUGAUGUGGGCCCCCUAGGGUUGAGUGGGUGGUUGGUUGAUAGUAUGAUCUAACGACGAAAAUAUAUUUAUAUAUAUUAUAUAAUAUAUAUAUAUAUAUAUAUAUAUAAUAUAUAAUUAUAUAUAUAAUAUAUAUAUAUAUAUAUAUGCAUGCUGGAAUGCUUCUAAUAGCACCAAGUCAUUGGCGCUUUUAAGCUUUUGGCCUUUGAAUGGAGAAACAUGCUAUUAGGAUAAUAGAUGGUCUCUUAGGGUUGAGUAGGUGAUUGACUGAAUAAUAUAAUUUAAAGAAUAGAAUUAGUCAAAAUGAUAAAUUUAACAGCUAAAAAUUUGAUAGUACUAAUUAUUCGAUGCUAUUGAUAGUAUAAUAGCUGAACUCUCUAUAUAUAUAUAUAUAUAUAUAUAUAUAUAUAUGUCCAUGCUUAGGUGCUUAGAAAUGCGCAAUAUUUGUGAAAAGUUGAGAGACCAAAAUUUAGGGACCAAAACACAGCUCUGGUAUAGUGCAGGGGACUAUCAAUAUAUUUUACCCAAAGAAAUAUCUGUGAAUUCUGAUGAAAGGAGAGCCUCCCAUGUCCCAAUUUGCAAGAAACCACCAUUAAGAUCCAAAGAACUCACCGACCGUCCCUAAAGCAAGUGGCAAAAGAUUUGAUGGUUGAUAUCCGAAACCCAAGUUCGAAUCCUAAUUGAUUCAUAUUUUCAGCUAAGUUUAUUUUUAAAUGAAAUAAACGAAACGGAUAGCGUACUACUUAUCUCUCUCUAUAAAAAAAAAAAUUCCAAGGAACUCUCUUGACCCCUUCUCUUUGUGGGGCAGCAUAAUUUGUAGUUUACCCCCACAAAACAUUAAAAAAACUAACUUGAUUUUAUGAAAUUUUCUACCAGUGAAUCUAUGAGUUCUCUCACUAGUAAAGCUUCUGCAGCAAGUGCUUUUGGAGGAAGUACCACUAUUAUCAGUAAAGCAAUUGGCCUUAUUAUGUAAUAAGGUAAUUAUUUUGAAUCUUCCCUACAAAGUACAAGCAGAAAAAUUCCUUGCUGCUACUAUAUUCACUUUUGGAGCACUAAUAAAAGUAACUUAGACAAUGUAACAUCAGAUUAUAAUAAUAAGGCUAAAUUACAUUAAAUCCUUCUGUCAAAAUUCGAUUUUUCACUUUUUUUCUCUGUCAUUUAAAAAUCUACACUUUGCUCUCUUAUAAAAUAAAAAAUGUUCACUUCGUCUCAUGCUGUUAGUAAUCCAUUAGAGUUCCGUUUAUAAAAUAUUAUUAUAUAUUUUUUAAUGUCAAAAAUGCCCUAAGCCUUCUUUUCUGUGAACAUAGUGAGGGGCAAAAUGGUGAGGAGCAAAAUAGUCAUUUUAUCAUCCAAGUUCACACUGUAUCUCUGUGAACAUUUUUUAUUUUACAAAGGGACAAAGUGUAAGUUUUAAAUAAUAGGGGAAGAAAGUGAAAAAUCGGAUUUUGACAGGGAGGUUUUCUGUAAUUUAGCCUAAUAAUAAUGCUGAAAAAUCGACCGUCCCAAGUGCAAAUGGCAAAAAACUUGAUAGUUGGUAUCCAAAGUCCCAAGUUCAAAUCUUAAUUGAUUCACAUUUCUAACUAGGGCUUUUUUUGCAAAUAGCCCCUUGACAAAUUAAAUUUGCAAAAAUAGUCCCGUCCAAAAAUUAUUUGCAAAAAUGGCCCUGCUCCUGCCACGCCAGCGCCACGCGGGCAGAGCGGGCCCAGGUGUUUAAGUUGAACACGGUGAACCAUUCACCGUAUUCAAUAUAAAAUUUUUGUAUUGGACACGGUGAAUGGUUCACCGUGUCCAAUACAAAUACCCCAACAAUAACUAAGUUGGAGGUAUUUGUAUUAGACACGGUGAACCAUUCACCGUGUCCAAUUAUUUGUAUUGGACACGGUGAAUGAUUCACCGUGUCCAAUACAAAUAUUUUGAUCUUAGUUAUUUUGUAUUAGACACGGUAAAUCAUUCACCGUGUCCAAUAUAAAAACUUUGUAUUGAACACGGUGAAUGGUUCACCGUGUUCAACUUAACCAUCUGGUCCAGCCCCGCCCGCGUGGCGUUGACGUGGCGCUUGCGUGACGGGGCCAGGGCCAUUUUUACAAAUAAAUUUUUGACAGGGCCAAUUAAAAAAAAAAAAUUUGUAAGGAAGCUAUUUGCGAAAAAAGCCCUUCUAACUAAGUUACGUGUAGCAUACUAUCUAUCUUUAUGUAUAGAUCGAGUUGAUAGUAACAGGGCCUAAUUCUGCAGUAUGCCUACUACUUGAAAUAUUGCCUUUUUUUUUUUUAAAUUUUAGAAUUAGAACUUUCACUUUUUAGACAAAAAAAAAUUUUAUUAGUUCAAUAUAUAUCAAAUAUUUUACUUCUACUAUUUUGAAAUAGGAAAAGAAAAAGAAAAAGAAAAAAAAGCCUGAGUCACAAGAUCUACAUUCUAUUUUUUGUUCUUUUUUAUCUUUCUUUUGUGAUGCCCCAUGAAGUCAUAUGAGUGCAUGCACUCUCUUUCUCUCUCUCUCUCUCUCUCUCUCUCAAGACCCACACACUCUUAUCUCUCUCUCUCACUUUCUCAAGUUGGUUGGCAUGUUGUUAUUAUUAUGUGCAUGAAACCAUCAUAAAACCACUCCACAAAACCAAAAAAAAAAAAAAAAAAAAAAAAUUCACACCACCUUUUUCCUCCUCUCAUCAAACCCUUCACUUCUCAACUCCAUAUCUACACCCCACAACACCACCACCACCACCACCACCACCAUUUUUGCAACACUCUUUUCUCCCUCAUAUCACUCCCCCAAACUCAUCUUCAACCUCUCAACACAAUUCCACCUUAAAAACAAAAAAAACAAAAAACAAAAGAAAAAAAAAAAACACACACACACACACUAACAUGAAAAGGACCCAAGAAAGAACCCACCACACUCUCCUCCUCCUCUACUACCUCUACCUCUUCAUGAUCAUGAUCAUCCUCCUCCUGCUCGUCCAAUCGGGCUCCGCCACGUCAUCCGGCGCACCACGUCAGCGGGGGUCCCCGAUCCGGUCCAUGGUGGUGCUGGUGCUCGAGAACCGCUCCUUCGACCACAUGCUGGGGUGGCUGAAGCGCUCCCUCAACCCCCUCCUCGACGGCCUCACCGGCUCCGAAUGCAACCCCAACUCCUCCUCCUCCUCCCCAAACCCUAACCCUAACCCUAACCCUAACCCUAACCCUAAUCCCCCCCUCGUCUGCGUCUCCGACGACGCCCGCUUCGUCGCCGCCGACCCCGGCCACUCCUUCGAGGACGUCCUCCUCCAGGUCUUCGGCCCCUCGUCGUCGUCGUCCUCCUCCUCCCCCUCCGCGGCGAAGAGGACCCCGUCCAUGUCCGGGUUCGUGGAGCAAGCCCUCUCCAUCUCCCCCGACCUCUCCGCCACCGUGAUGAAGGGCUUCGACCCCUCCCGCCUCCCUGUCUUCGAAACCCUAGCCGCGCACUUCGCCGUGUUCGAUCGCUGGUUCUCCUCCAUCCCCGGCCCGACCCAGCCCAACCGCCUCUUCCUCUACUCCGCCACCUCCCAUGGCGCCGUCGCCCACGACAAGUGGAACCUCCUCCGCGGCUACCCCCAACCCACCAUCUUCGACUCCCUCGCCUCCUCCGACCUCGACUUCGGCGUCUACUUCCGCUCCAUCCCCACCACCCUCUUCUACCGCGACCUCCGCCGCUUGAAGCACGUCUCCAAGUUCCACCCCUACGACGACACCUUCAGAUCCCACGCCAUGAGCGGCCGAUUGCCGAGCUUGAGCGUGAUCGAGCCGCGCUACUUCGACCUCAUCGGCGCCCCCGCCGACGACGACCACCCCUCGCACGACGUCGCCAACGGUCAGCGCCUCGUGAAGGAGGUGUACGAGACGCUCAGGGCCGGCCCCCAGUGGAACCACACCCUGCUCGUCGUCACCUACGACGAGCACGGCGGCUUCUUCGAUCACGUCGCCACUCCCUUCGUCGGCGUCCCCAACCCCGACGGCUUGAUCGGCCCCGAGCCCUUCCGCUUCCCCUUCGAUCGCCUCGGCGUCCGCAUCCCCACCAUCAUGGUCUCCCCCUGGAUCAAGAAAGGAACAGGUAAACAAUUUGUUAUUGUUCUUGUUGUUAAUGUUGUUGUUCUUGUUGUUUACUUGUUCCUUAGCAUUUCUAAUUUGGUACUACUACUAGUAAUUUGAUCAUUUGUUCUGUGCUUGGACUGGUGCAUCAUGCUAAAUUGCUACCACUAAGACUUCAAUUCGUCCUAGUUUCUGUCUACGAAUGUCGAUAAUUUUGAUUAAACAUUUGCGAUCUCAGAGCCGAGACGAAGAGAUGGUAAGUUUGAAUCUGUAUCAACUCACAUGCAUUAUGUGGCUGAAACUAUUUGUGCUGUAUCGUUUUCAUUUGAUGUUCUUUUUCCUAUCACCGGUAGUAAUUUGUAAAUUAGAAUCUUUCUCCGCAUAUCAUGUUUGAAAUUUCACAUUCCGGUGAAAACUUACUCAGCUGUGGAAUUCUCGUCGAAUGCCUAAUUUUUGGUUGUAAUGCAGUUGUGAACAGACCGAAGGGACCGUAUCCAAAUUCCGAAUUCGAGCACUCUUCGAUUCCGGCAACCAUAAAGAAGAUCUUCAACCUCACAUCCGACUUCUUGACAAAAAGAGACGCUUGGGCCGGCACAUUCGAACAUAUCUUCACCGAACUGAGCUCACCGAGAACCGAUUGCCCUGGUAAUCCGCAUCUCUCGCGUUCAUUUAUGCGUUAAAAGCAGAGAAAGGAAUUAUGAUUUAGCGAUUUACUUCUCCUUUAUUAGAAACCUCACGCGUUUGUUAUCAAGCGCGCGCAUUUGGUACUAUUUGAGAGAGAAAGAUAGCAAAUGAAGAACAUAGAAACCUAUUUCGCUACUUUUGCGUUCACUCUACGCUAAAACUGUACUGUUGUUGGUUUCUAACAGAGGUAUUACCAGAAGUCACUUCGUUACAACCGGGCGUAGCUAACGAAGACGGGUGGCUCUCAGAAUUCCAAAGCGAGCUGGUCCAGCUAGCCGCCGUUCUUAACGGCGACUACUUCCUGAACAGCUUCGGCCACGAAACAGGCAAGAAGAUGACCGUUAAGCAGGCCGACGCGUACGUUAAGCGCGCGGUAAAAAGAUUUAUACAAGCAAGCAAACAAGCUAUUCGAUUGGGCGCCAAUGCCUCCGCUAUCGUAAAUAUGAGAUCGGCUCUCACGACAGUGACCGCACCUCCGUAAAUCAUAUGUCAGUUCUUUGUUUAUUGUAAAUCUUGUAAUCUUUGCGCAGCCCGCGAGGGGGGGGUGGGUUUGCAUGCAUUUAUUUAUAUAUGAUGAAUAGAUCCUCUUCAUAGUUCUCUUCUAACUCGGACAAGAGGGAAGAAGCAACUUGAAGAACAUGUGUUUAAAAUAUAGAGAGGCUGAUAUUUUGCUUAUGUCAUGUUUUUCCUUCCAGUAUUGGCCUACAUCCUACUUGUGUUUGCUCAUUUCCUUUUCCUUUAUUUGCAAAUGACAAACUCCUUUGCUCAUGUUUUGUAUUAUUACUACUGAAACGAAAAGGAAGCAUGAUUAGGACAGAUCAGAUGAUUAUUGGAGACUGAGUAAUGAAACCGAAACAUUAAGAUGGCAACAAUGUUUCUGAAUGUUGUAUGGCAAAAAGAGGUUUGUCGAUUUAUCAACAAUCAUUUGAAAGCAUUACUUUCUGAACUAAAAAACUGCCGAUAAACUCGCAUUGUACAUGAGGGAUGCAAAACUUACUACUGAUUAUUUUAAUAUUUCUUAGUAGAAAUUUUGUCAUCAAAAUCUGAAAAAGAAAAACUAAACCUUUUACUAAUUGCAAAGUAUAUAAUACUGAUUCUUCUACACAUGGUAUUGCUCUUUCUAGAUCACUACCAUCUAGAAGUUGAACCACUACAAUGCUAAGAUAAAAAAAUCUGAUGGACCUGCUAUAUACAGUGCAACAUUUUUGCAAUGCAUGUUUCAAUCAAGUAUUUACCAACAUCAUUAAAAAAACACAACAGAAACCAGUGAGUGAAAAAUAAAAGGCUGUAAUGCAGAAAUUCCCUGCAAAGAGCAUCAUUGCACUUAACCCAUCUUUUACAAAAACACCUACAUUAAUCCCCUCAAUAUUUAAACCUUUCAUGCUUCGCCCUUUCUUGUUACACUUCUUAAUCAGGAAGUAUCAUGCAGUUUUCGAAUGAAAUGCUUACCAUCCCCCAUGAUAGGGUUAAAUAGACACUAUUUUAGAACUCGUAACAAUUUCAUAUAAGACAGGAAAGGGGUCACGUACUAAUAAUGAUCUAAACAUCGAGGGGGUAAAUACAAACAAGUCUAUAUAUCAAGAGAGGCAAAGUGCAAUUUGCAGUUUGAGGGAUCAAGAAAAACCCAACGCAUGUGGCGAAAACAAACAUCCAAGAGAUUCAUAGACACAUUAGUUAACAUCCAUGCACCGAAAAGUCAAAAAAAAAAAAAAAACAAUCUUCAAUACUGAUAAAAAAAGCAAAAACAAUCUUCAAUACUUAUAAGAGAAGCACUGUGCCACCUCCCUAAAACAUGGGGAGGAUAAGAUGAUGUAUAGGUCUUCGAACAGGUUUGAGCAUAAUGCUUCGGACCAAAAGGAAAGAAAAAAAAGGAAACCAAAGACGAAAACGAGCUAAGAAGGAAAUAACAAACGUCACUUCACAGCAAAUCCAGAGGAGGAAAAGCUAUCUUCUAGACGCUUUGACAGACUCUUCAAGCAUAAUUCAGAGGGAAUAGACGGAUAAUUCAGAGGGAAUAGACGGAAUAUGUGGUUCAGCACGUGGAAGCUCCCCUGAAGCGUCGGCAUCAAAUUAAACAUCUACAGAAGUUAAAAAAAGGAAAAAAAAAAAAAAAACAAUUAGGUCCCUCGUCAUUAGCAUUUGAUAUAUAUAUCGGUUGAUAGCAAUGACUGCAUAUACAAAUAGAAGCCUUACUUGAAACGAAAAGCACAUAAACAGAAAGAUAACAUAACUUUCAACAUACAUAUUUACUGCUGCUUGCACUUCUGCUAUUAUGAACAACUACAAGGGGCGGGCAAGAUAAACAUAAACCAAAAAGUACAAAGGAUUGGGGAUUAAGUAUAAUACGUUUACAAUCGUAAUGGACUUUUCUAUUGAGAAAAUAACCAGGGGUUAAUUUACUGAAAAUAGUAAGAGGAAUGGAGGCAAAAAAAAGAGGGGAUCAUUACAGGAAAGUCAACGAUCCAAAGAAUUGGAACCAACGUGCAACUACACUGCACCAAUCCUUGGGAUCUAGCCGCUCCGAUACCAAUUUGUAAUGACCCCCGACAAUCCGCAACCCGCCGAUGAUGAUAAUCGGUUGAGUGGAUAUCGGGCUGCCUUCUCAGCAUGAUCCUCAAUUAGGCGGAUAGUGGGUCCGCGUUUUACGCCCGAUUCAGCAAUCCGACCGCCCGAUCCGCCAUUUGCUGAAGUAUUACUACUUCCCCAAGUUUGUAGAUUUGGUCGGAUCUCCCUCCACCCGAUCUCCUCUCUCCUCUCUGUCUCCGCCCUAUCUCCUCUCUCCUCUCUGUCUCCGCCCGAUCUCCUCUCUCCUCUCUGUCCCCGCCCAAUCUCCUCUCUCCUCUCUGUCUCCAUGGAUGCCCUAGUCACCUCCGGUUUCUUCUCCGUCAGCGCCCGAGUCCUUCGAAGGCGCUCCCUGCAGGAUCCAUCCUGUUGCCGCCACUUAUUUCAUCCCUACCUAAGUUACUGUCUUAACUACCUUCCUCUUCUAACUAGGUUGUUAGAUAUUUCUCUGCUCUCUUUCCAUUCCUCUUUCAUUUUGCUUUUAUUUAGAUCAGGCUUUAUUGAGAACUAUUUACCUAUCUAGCCUCUUUACAAAAAAAUAUUUCCUAUCUAGCCUUCUUUUGAAAAAUAUUCCCCAUCUAGCCUCAUUUUCAAAGAUUAGAGAAAAAAAGAUAAAUUAAUUCCUUUAAUAUAUAUUAAGGGGUUAAGUGGGGGAGAUUAUUUUUUUCUCUCUCCUCUCCUAUUUCCCGAGAUUCCUUCUCGCUCUCUAAUUUUUGCGUAUAAUUUAUCUCAUAUAGAUUUAUUUCAAAAUAGAAAAUUUUUAUAUAGCGCAUCAACCAAUUCCAAUCUUUUUAUAUUUUGAUGGAAAUAUUAUGCAUGGUUCGGAAGGAGUUGAUUAUAAUGGUCCUGAUCCAAAACUAUUUGGAUUUCUCGUACUUUAGGUUUUAAUACAUUAAAACAUAAAAUUUAUAGGCCGAAUGGGAUCAAGAUUAUUUUGAUAUAAAAAUUAAUGGGAGAGGAGAGAGAAAAAGAUAAUCUCCCCCACUUAACCCCUUAAUAUAUAUUAAAGGAAUUAAUUUAUCUUUUUUUCUCUAAUCUUUGAAGAUGAGGCUAGAUGGGGAAUAUUUUUCAAAGGGAGGCUAGAUAGGGAAUAUUUUUUUGUAAAGAAGCUAGAUAGGUAAAUAGUUCCUUUAUUGAGGCCAUAUCGAGUAUCUGCCUCAGAUAUGAUAAUCCUUAACCCCGGAUCCAUAUCAUCAUCCCAAGCACCGAACAAACAUAUAUUAUUAUUAUAUAAUAAUAAAAUCAAUCGGUUUCUCUUUCAUUUCCAUCAAUCCUAUGGACGGGGAUUUCGAAUCUCAUCAAACAAACAAACAAACAAACAAAAAUUCUAGAUCGGAUCGGAAGGAAAAAGAGAUGAUCGUUCUUUCAUUUACCGGAUUGCAAAUCCGGUCAAACCAACAAAAAAACCCUAGAUCUGAUUUGUCUCUCCCAAACGAUGCCGCACUUGAUUCCUCUUUCAUAGUUUGAUUUCAACUUAUUCUACAUCAGAUUUUCAAAUCUCCACGAACAACUACCCAAAGAAGAAAACCUAGAUCGGUGGAAACCUAAAUCGGUGGCUCGAUUCUUCUUUCUCCUUUAAUUUCAGAUUCAGAUAUCAAAUCCCACAAAAAAAAAAAAUAAAAAAAAAAUCCAACAAGACUUGAUGAUUAUGCUUUAAUUGAUAAACCUAAACUAGAUCUGUUGCAGCGUUCUUCGUGGUUCGAAAGAAAGAAACUACAGACCUGGAUGCACUCUUGCCGGAGGUUUUCGCCGGCGAGCUGGAUGACGCCGGAGACGGAGACGAGCAAGCCACCCUGGGGGGGGACAUAGUGCUGGCAGUCGACGGUAUAGAUGUGGUGGAACUGGAAGGGGAGGGAGGCGAGCUUGGCGACGAUGGCCUGCGCGCCCUGGAUCUUGUCGCCCUCGAACGUCAGCAUCGACCCUUCCUGGUACAGAGCCCCCAGCGCCGCCCGGUUCUCGUUGAACGUCUUGCAGUAGUGCUCCGCGAACGCCCGGGCCAUCACGUCCGGAUCGCUCGAUCGAUCCAUCGCUCGCUCGUGCAAACGCUCGAGAUAUACCAUUGUUAAGAAGAUGUAAAGGAUCACGAUGAUCUCGACAGAGAGGAAGAGGAAGAGGAAGAGGCGAACGGAGGAGAAGAGGAGGAGGGGCGGAGCGGCGGCGCUCCUUAUAUGUAAUGAUAAUGAUAAUGUAAUAUAUACAAUAGUAAGGAUAUUAAUGAGAAAUUCUAAGUCGGUGACUAAUGAAUGUGCUAACCUACUUUCGCCCACCAGCUUUUUUUUUUUUUUUUUUUUUUUUUUUGGUGCACCCGGUGUAUCAUGUUUACUUUAAAUUUUUAAUUUUUAAUUUUAAUUUAAUAUUAUAUUCAAAAAAUAUAUGUAAAAAAUAAUUUUAAAUCUUAAAUUUUAAAUUAUUUUAUAUAUAUUUUUAAAAUAUCAUAAUAUUUAUAAUUAAAUUAUUAAUGAAUAAAUAAAAAAAAUAAAAUUUUAAAAUAAUACUAGUGCACCGGCUGCAUAAAAAAAAAAAAAUCCAACUUUUCUCCUUGGAUGAGCAAUCCGAAACAAUUUUGGUUCGUGCCAUGAUAGAAAUAUAUAUAUGAUGAAUAGAUCCUCUUCAUAGUUCUCUUCUAACUCAGACAGGAGGGAAGAAGCAACUUGAAGAACAUGUGUUUAAAAUAUAGAGAGGUUGAUAUUUUGCUUAUGUCAUGUUUUUCCUUCCAGUAUUGUCCUUCUACACCCUACUUCUGUUUGUUCACUUCCUUUUCCUUUAUUUGCAAAUGACAAACUCCUUUGCUCAUGUUUUGUAUUAUUACAAUUAAAAAGAAAAGGUAGCAUGAUUAGGACAGAUCAGAUGAUUCUUAUUACUACUGAAAAGAAAAGGAAACAUGAUUAGGACAGAUCAGAUGAUUGUUGGAGAUGAGUAAUGGAUCCGAAACAUUAAGAUGGCAACAAUGCUUCUGAAUGUUGUAUGGCAAAAAGAGGUUUGUCGAUUUAUCAACAAUCACAUAGGGGAUCAUUUGUAAGGCACCCAAAGCAUUAUUUUCUGAACUAAAAAACUGCUGAUAAACUGACAUUGGCAUUGUGCAUGAGAAAUGCAAAACUUACUAUUGAUUAGUUUAAUGUUUUUGAGUAGAAAUCUUGUCAUCAAAAUCUGAAAACAUAAAAAAAAAAAAAAAAAAAAAAAGCUCUUGAAAUUCAUGAACAUAGUACAAAGUAUAUGAUUAAAAUUCAAACUUCAACUAGGACUCUUUUACAUAAUCCAAGCACAAGAGAUAUGCAACCAAGCCCACAACAGGGACGAAUCUUAAGACAUUUACGAGUUCUGUAUAAUCUUCUUUUACAUUUUGAAGGUUGUCACCAAUCAACCAAGGUUGGAAUACGGCGUAAAGUAGAAUAUCCCAUAUGAAUGCAUAAGCAAGCCUCUCUGAUCCGAUAUAAUUUCCCAAAUAUAGCCAUCGAUCAGCUAGACUUCCGAAACCACCAUCGGCACGACCAAAAAGAGCCCAAAGUGUCGAGACAACGCAGACAAAUCCACCAAUUAAAGCCACGAUGGGCGCACCUCUUACCAUCACUGAACCCAACUGAGAUGGUUUUGUGGGAUACUGGUUCGAGUCCGCAUCAUUAAGUCGGAUCGCCAUGUAAGGUAUUAAGAAGACUGAGCAAGCAAUGCCAAGAAGCAGAGACAAGUUCAAUCAGAUAAAAUAGCUUACCAUAGUUUUUCUUCUUCUUUUUUUUUUUCUGUUUUUGACAAAAGAACAAAUUAGUAACUUAUGAUUCCUUUAAAUAUGUGUUUGCAAAUUAAGCAACAAUAACAGGACUAGAUCUGUUCAUCGCAAGGUGCCUUUCUCAUAAAUUCNAAAAAAAAAAAAAAAAAAAAAAACCAAAGACGAAAACGAGCAAAGAAGGAAAUAACAACCAUCACUUCAUAGCAAAUCCAAAAGAGGAAAAGUUAUCUUCCAGACUCUCUAAAAGACUCUUCAAGCAUAAUUCAGACGGAAUAUGUCAUUCAGCACGUAGAAGCUCCCCUGAGGCGUCGGCAUCAAAUGAAACAUCUAUGGAAAUUAAACAAAAAAAAAGAAAAAGGAAAAAAAAAGGCAAUUAGGUCUCUCGUCAUUAGCAUUUGAUACAUAUAGGUUGAUAGCAAUGAUUGCAUAUACAAAGAGAAGCCUUACUUGAAACGAAAAGCACAUAAACAGAAAGAUAACAUAACUUUCAACAUAUCCAUGAACUGCUGCUCGCACUUCUGCUAUUAUGAACAACUACGAGGGGCGGACAAGAUAAACAUAAACCAAAAAGUACAAAGGAUUGGGGAUUAAGUAUAAUUUGUUUACAAUCAUAAUGAACUUUUCUAUUUAGAAAAUAACCAGGGGAUAAUAUGCUGAAAAAAGUAAAGAGGAAACUGACAUUACGGAUCAAGUUUAACCAAAGAUGACUUUCGUGGAGGCAAAAAAAAAAGGGGAUCACUACAGAAAAGUCACAAACACAAAUAAAACACGGACGAAUGCUCGCAAAACAAUUGCACAUAUUACACGCACGCGCGCGCACACAGCUUUUGAGGGGAGUUAAAUUCUUUGCCAAUGAUGCCAAACAACAAACUAUGCACUUAUUUUGUCAUUUCAUUGAGCUUUUGAAUGGAGUUAAAUUCUUUGCCAAUGACGUCAAACAACGCACCGUGCAACUAUUUUGUCAUUUCAUUCAAUUGGAAUAAUUGUAGUCAAAAUUCUUCGCCACGGUCCAAAGGUCCUAUCACAAUCAAUCCAAUCCUAGAGCUUCUUUGUUACAUAGUUAGGCAUUUUCCUCGCAGAUUAAGAACCCCAGACGUACACUUGAUCAAUCAAAUCACUCUCGAGCAACAUAGAACCAACCGUCUUCUUCACAACUUAUGAAGAUUCAAAAGUUCCUUUUCUUUUCCCAUCCAACCUACCUUCAUCAGCUUUUCUUAUUCCUCUUUUACAAUAGUCUAUCAUAUUUCUGGUUCAUCCAGCUCGUAGAAAAAUGAGAAAACAAAAAAUAGCACAAGGGUCAAAUAUCUUUUUUCUAUAUACUUUGUGCUCCUAAAAAAGAGAACCUCAAAAUCAAUCUCUCAUCUAAAAGCUAUGGGGCAUGCCAAAUCCAUGCCUAAAGAGCAAAAAUUCUCCUCCUAAUCGUAGCAAGCAAUCAAUAAAAUCGGAUUCAAAUCUCAAACAGGUGCAUAAGAUUUCCCCUAAAAGAACAAUUAACUAAGAAAGAAAACCCUAGAUUCAUAAUCCACAAGGAUGAAAUCAAGGAAGCUUAGAGACAUAAGGCUCCAGACCAAGAAGAGACAUAGGGAAGAAAACAGGGCACAUCAGAUUAGUCGAAGACUGUUGGCUUAAAUGGGCCAGCAUCCUGCCCUGUGGCGGGAGGCCAUGUGGGCCGAGUCAUGUUCGAAAUGGCGUGAGGCUGGGUUGGGCCGAGUCAUGUUCGAAGUGGCGUGAGGCCAGGUGGGCCGAGUCACAAUCGAGACCCGUGGGCGCUGUUUCUGUACGCUUUAAGUGAAUUGGUUGCGUAUUUCUAACAGCUCGAGCUUUUGGGAUUAAUGGUUAGCGCCAACGAUCCGACAAAGACACCCUAAACAUCAACAAAUGACCUCAUUCUCUAUUGAUUAGACCACCUUGCAAAAAGAAAGUAAGCCCCCUCCCAAAAAAAAACCAACAAAAGAACACAACACACGGAACCCUAAAACAGGCUGGCCACAAGGAAAGCAUAGAAUGUAUAGGAGUAAAGGCACAUCAAUUACACUUUAUCUAGUAGGAUCGACCAUUAUCUGAUCGCCAAUCAUCAUUUAAACAUGAUUGAGUGAACACCAUAUCAUAUCAAAUAGAGGGGGAAAAAUUAAAAAUCUAACAAUGAUAUCGUUCUCAGGUUGCUUUAGCACCAAAAAAAGUUAAAGAAAGAAAGUAGUGAAGGGGAAAAAAAAAAACCAUAAAUCUGGUUGAUCUCUUCCUCCGUUUUAACUACGCUGGCUCGGCAGCGAAAACCCCUAGAUCCAUUUCACCACAAGGAUCAAACACAAAAGGCACAAGAAAAGAAGUGCUAUCAAUCAAUCGAGUCAUCGAUCUCUUCUCUCUUCUUACUUAGAUUGGGGAGUAGAAUAUGGAAGAAAAAAUAAAAAGCAAAACUCCAGAUGAAACUGAACACAAGUGUCGAAAAAUGAGAAGGAAACCCUAGAUCCAGCCUCAUUUCCAUUUCCGCCUGAUUGGAUACCAAGACCUAUCAAAUAGCCCUCAUUUACAUAAUAAUAAAAUCAGACGCUAGAGUAGAUCUGUUGCAGCAUGCAUUCAGAAGUUCGAAAGAGAGGAAGAAACUACUGACCUGGCUGAACUUGAGCUGGUGGUUUUCGCCGGCGAGCUGGAUGGCGCCGGAGACGAAGACGAGCAUGCCGCCCUGGGGGCCGGAGGGCUGGCAGUCGACGGUGGAGAUGUGGUGGAGGCACUGCUGGAAGGGGAGGGAGGUGAGCUUGGCGACGAUGGACUGCGCGCCCUGGAUCUUGUCGCCCUCGAACGUCAGCAUCGACCCCUCCUGGUACAGCCCCCCCAGCGCCGCCCGGUUCCCGUCGAACGUCCUGUAGUAGUGCUCCACGAACGCCCGCGCCACCCCGUCCGGAUCCAUCGAUCGAUCGAUCAAAAACUCUCGAUACUCGAUUUCGAUGAUGAUGAUGAAGAUGAUGAAGACGAUGAUCUCUCUCUCUCUCUCUAUACUCUCUCUCUCUCUCUCUCUCUCGGUCUCUUGAGAGAGAGGAAGAGGAAGAGGCGAAUGGAGGAAGAAGAGGAAGUGGAGAGGAGGGGGAUCGGCGGCGACUCCAAGCAAGAUAAUAAUAUAAUAUAUAUAUAUAUAUAUAAUUAUAUAUAUGAGAAAUUCUGAAUCGGUGACUAAUGAAUGUGGUGGCCUAUUUGUGGCCUGUAGCUAGCUAGGUUUUUUCCCUUUUUUUUCUUUUUUUCCGGGAGAGUCCCUCAAGUAUAUCGAUAUUGCUAUUAGGUCGUUUUAUUUUAUUUUUAUUUUUUGUAGUUGUUUAAACAAUUGAGGUAGUUUAGUUUAGUUUAGUUUUUUUUUCCCCUUUUCUUUCGGUUUGUAAUUGGUCAGUUGAUACUGACUUAAAGAGAGAGAGAGAGAGAGAAAAAUUAUUGAUUUUAAAUUUUGAAAAAAAAUGCAACAAGGAUAAAAUUUUUGUAGUUAAAAGUUAAAAGGUAAACUUCAAAUACCAUCCAUAUAACUUUAUACUUUUUUAUUUUAGUAUUCAUGUAGUUUAAAGUGUAUCAAGUUAGUGUCAUGUGGUUUUAUUUUUAUUUUUUCGUUAAUUUUUUCGUUAAUAUUUUAUUAAAUUAUAUACAAAAAAAAUUUCAGAUAUCACACAUAGGUUUAUCAAAUAUUCACUUUAGUACCCUUUAGUUUUAACUUUGUCGCUAAUUUAAUGAAAAAAAUUAGUUGAAUCGAUAAUAAAAAUAUAAAAAUAAAAUUAUAAGAUACUAAAUUAAUUUACUUUAAACUAUAAAAUAAAGUUAAAAAAAAUGAAAUAUAGAUGAAUCGUCAAAACUUUUUUUUUUUUUUUUGAGAGAUAGAUAGCACGCCAUUCGCUUCGCUUAUUUCAUUUAGAAAUAAACUUAGUUUGAAAUAUGAAUCAACUAAGAUUCGAACUUAAGACCUCGGAUACCAACCAUCAAGUCCUUUGCCACUUUGAUCUAGGGACGGUCGGUCAAGAGGACAUAGCCAAAUUGAAGUACCAAAUAGUAGACCACAAAAAAAAAAAAAGAAAAAAAAUGCAAAUAAAAUAAUUUUUUAUCAAAAAUUUAGAGACUAUGAUUUACGAAUGCAAUUUAGCCUAUUUUUCACUUGCUGGUAUGAAGAUCGGUUAUUCGAUCCCCCACUAAUAAAUCGUCAAUCCUCAACAUCUACGAAAAGAAUACUAUAUUAAGUACUGAAUUUAAUUCUUCAAAAAAGAAAAACACAAAAAAAAAACUUUUCUCACAUCAGGAAGAAGUACGUAGAUGCAUACAUACAUACAUGGCUAACAUAUAUAUACAUGGAUAAUACAUUUUAAAUAUCAAUAUAUAUGCUAAGUACGCCAACAUAUUUUCACGCGUACAUUUAUACAUUCGCAUAGUAGUAGUAGUAGCAGGAGACGCAGAACAACAAACAAACUACAACCUAUAGCUAAGUACAUGCGACUCUCCGACAACCAUGGACUAGCGUUUUACGUGUCCAGUAACAAGAAGGGCAGCGGCUGCACCUGCGUCCCCCACCGCGGCAAUCGCGGGACGUCACGGUGGGGGAUCGCAUUCCCGCCGCUGCACUCACCGCAUUCGUCGCCGCCGCCGCCGUUGUUGCUGCUGCUCACGCCUAUCCCGUCGCCACCGUGCUCGUCUUGCCUCUCCAUGUUGAGAUACUUCCAUAUACGAGCACCAUGCGAGAGCCACGUUGAGUGAGAUGAUGAUCAUGAUGUUAAUAAUGAGGGUGGGUAAAAGAUGAUCAUGAGAAGCAGCUUACUGAUUGGAGUACCCUCCUCUUUUCAAGAAGCUUCUCCCCCUGCGAAUCCGCAAUAUAACAAGUUAAGAGAGACAAACUGAAACGAUCGAUAGUGCGCGUAAACUUAUUUUAAUAUGGUAACAUGCAAGGUUAUCUUGCAUGUAAGUGGUACCACGACUCUUUCGGGUUCGUUCCCUCAGCAAUUUUGAAGAUUCAAUUGAUCUCUAUGCUCUUAUCGUGCUGGUUCAACUGCGCCGUUUAAGUAGAACUUUUUAAGAAGCACUAGCAGCCUUUUUCCACACUUUUGUUACCAUCCACUCAGUCUAUCCUACUGCAGACAGAUAUUCAGAGGAACUUAGUUUGCGUUAGCUUCUCGUUACAGCAAAAGCUUAAGAGCUUUGUUUGCCGAACACAGGCUAUCUGUCUUCGGAGUACAGAAGAAGUUCAAAAUCCUAAGCCCUAACUUGCACAAAGUGAUGAAUAGUAUUAAGGAAUCAUGAUCUCUUAGUCUUUGCUGAAGGUUGUUGAGAAUUUAUCAUGAGAUACUAGUGGGGAUGCUAAAAACUGUUGGAAGAGGAUCAUCAGAUGCUGGUGGUAAUCAAACAAAGAAAAGAGAUUAGUUAGCGUGUAGUUAAGAGCUGUCGCACCCGAAUUGUUCUAUAACUAGUGGAGCGGUUUGUCUGCAGUGUGCGACGUUCAACUAGCCCACUUAUCUUGUCAACUUUGACUGAAGCAUCUCAGGCCACAAUGUCUAAAGUCGGCUUCUGCAAAAAGCUACAAACACUAGCGGGCUAGUUGCGCCUUACGAAAGUGAUUUAACAGCCAAGAUCUAUAUCUUCCUAAGUGGAUUAGUGCUUAUCUAGUCUAGUACAGAAUUGGGACAUUGAUGCUAUGGACAAAGAAGAUUCCUGACCUAAAAUUUCCCUUUGCAUCACCCCUAUCAAAGAUCAUAUUCUAGUUGUGAAAUGCUAAAGAUUCCCAAUAUAAAAAAUAGAAGAGCACUUUUUCUUUAAUUUUCCCCUUUGCAUCCCCCCGUAUCUAAGAUCAUAUUCUAAAAGGUGUGAACUGCUAUGCACUAUACAUAAGUGCAUCGGAUAAUCAAAGUUAUCUAUGUUGAUCAAAUCGACUAGAAAGAAAAAAUGUAUAAAGUUUUCACAUACCUUUUCCUGAAGCUCAGCGAUCAUAUCCAUCAUCACUUGAGUCUGUGUGCAUGCACAGCACCAGAUUAUAAUGUAAAAUCUGUAAAGUUGCUUUACCAUUUUCACAAUUUGGCAUAAUAAAUUUGAACCGCGGAUGUCAUUUUAAAGAUCCAUACUUCUUUCGGUAAGAAGUUUCUUAUCCAAAUCAGGAAAUUUUCCUGCUAAACAGGGGUAAAGUUUGCUAACCUUUCGGGCAAUUGUUUGUGUUAAUGCACCAUCCAGUUCACUUUCAACUUGGUUGAGCUCAUCAAAGCUCAGCUGUGCGAUGUUUGACUUGUCUAGUGACCUGAAAUGUACUCUGUUGUGCAUCAACAAAUAGAAAAUCGUGUAUUGGUGUUUUAAAAUAGAGUGGUGCAUCACCUUUGAGAAAACUCCAAUAGCUCAUCUUUAGUUCUUGGACAAGCAAAGCCCUUGGUGCCCUGCAGAGGUUGAAAGUUAAUUUAUGAAAUAACAUAGUGUAACCCCCAUAUUCUGAGUGAAAUUCUCAGCACUACUUGUAGGCAUAUGCAUAAAUCUACGACAUAGGCACCAGUAGCAUGCCGUCAUUUAAGUUCUGUUUAUAUAGAAGGGAUUCCAUUUAUGUUUUUGGUUCAGAAAAUGCUUUUGAAACAUUGAUCUAGUCCACAAGCUCUUUAGUUGGAACUUUUACACGGUUAGGUGCUGCUUUCGAGAAAAACUUUCUUAAUUUUCAUGUCAAAUAACAAAGCAACAAAACCACAACAUGCUGCACUGAUAGUAUACUUACCUGUACUAUUCUUUCUGCAUGUGAAAAUUGUCGAUAGUGAGCAAUUAUUUUGUCCAUGCUGAAAAAGAGAUGCAGUUGUUAGUUCAUAUUCAAUUGGUUUGUUCUUCUUCAUAAAUGUCAAAGUGAAAAAAAAUGCAUUUCACAUGCCUAGUUUCAAUAUUGCAUAAAACAAGGUCCGUUAAGUCGCACAUGAAUCCUAAGAUAGGCAAGUUAAUUCUUAUAUGUUAGAGCAGAAGGCUUGCAAUUAUUUCAUUCGCUAUGUAUAAUGUCUAGCCAUCUUCCCCUGUUAAUGCAAUGCUUCUCUCAAAAGAUUUUCACCAAUUCAGACAUGAAACUCACAUAUUGAAAAGAGUAGUUCUUUGUGUACCUCAGAAGGCCCUUAGAAAGGUUUUUGCGGAGUUAGUAUCUUAUAGUUAAUGAUUGUUCAGAAGCAAAGGUUUGUUAUUACAAGGGUGUGCUCGGUUCGACGUAAAACUAUGAAAAAAAAAAUUUCGGUGGAAAAAAUUUUCGGAGGAAAAUAAAUUUUAUGUCUUCUAGUGUUUGGUUUAUAGAAAAAAAUUUAUUUUUUGUUACGGUUGUUUGGUUGAAAGAAAAAGAAGAAAAGGUUAUAUAUUUUUUCUUAUUCUAUAUAUUUUAUAUUAUUGAUAUAUAAUUAUUAUCAUAUUACAUAUAUUAGUAUUAUAGUUUAUAUUUAUAAAUAAAAUAUAUUUAAAAUAUAUUAUACAAUAAUUAAGUAUGUAAUGUAAUGUAUAUAAUAUAAUAGUAUAUAUUUAAUACUAUAAAAUAAAUUACUAGAUAUUUAUAAAUAAAAUAUUAUAUAAUAAAUAUAUUUAUAUUAAAAAUAAAAUACUAUUUUUAAUAUAUAUAUAUAUAUAUAUAUAUAUAUAUAUAUAUUAUAUGUAAAAGAAAAGAGGAAGGAGACCUCUCUCUCGCGGUCCACGAGGUGGGGUGUGCCUUAUGGACCGCGUGCCUGCUGCCCCUCUCCCUCUCAAUCUCGUGAUUUUUGAGUGUUGGUUUUCGUUUUCGCUCGUUUCGAGCAAAAAACGAAAACACGCGUUUUCAUUACAAUUCGUAAAAAAAAAAAAAUUUGAAAAAUUCUUUUUAUGAUCAAACAAAUAUUGGAAUCUUACUUUUUUACUAAAUUUAUUUUCUUGAGGAACCAAACUCACCCUAAGCCGAAAUCGAUCACUACCAUUUAUAUCAUUUAUAUAGUGCUAAUUCUCACCAAAAUUCAUUCUUUGAUCAUUACAAGUGUCCCCUCUGAUAAACUGCGACUUAUUUCACAAAACUUCAAGAAAAAAAUAGAUAAAAAAUUAAAGCUUCAGAGACAUAUGGGAACAUACGUGAAUCGAAAACAACCACAAGGAACGGAAAAUAACCUGGUACUCAAUAAUUCUCAAACAAUUGUAACAUGAAAUUAGUGAUUUGACCCGUCACAACUAUCGUACGAUCAGAAUCGAUAGAAAUGACAAAAGAUGGACCAAAUAUCACAUAAGAGUAAACUUUCUUAGUUUCUCCAUUUGUCUGUAACUGAUUUUCCAGUUAAAAAUAACCUUAAGUGGAACUAAAGUGCAGGUGAAGAAAUUUUUCCACAUAAUUAUUUUAUUUUUACUAAAUUUUUCAUACUACCUAGCACAUAAGAAGACGAAAAACAAAGUUACAACAAUUGAUUUUUAAUUUUGAAAUAGUAGAGUGGCGAAUGAAUUUAAUUUGCCCCAAACCAAAUAAGUAACUGCACCGUCCCUAUGUACAACAAGGCCAAGCAGAGAAAUAUCGUGUAAAUAUCUCCACCUAUAGGGUUUAAAUCACAACUCGUAGUGAGAAAAAACCUCGGCAAACAGAGAACUACUUGGCGAAGCUCGUACGAACGGAUCAAAAACCUAGGGUUUUAAUCAAGUCAUAGUGAGAGAGAGAGAGAGAGGGGGGGAGNGUCGUAGAGCUUGCCCUUGGCGGAGAAGACGACGAGGCCGACCUCGGCGUCGCAGAGCACGGCGAGCUCGCGCGCCUUCUUCAUGAGCCCGGCCCGCCGCUUCGAGAAGCACACCUGGCGACUCGCCUUGUCCUCGAUCCGCCGCAGCUCCACCCUCCCCCUCACCAUCGCCGCGCCCUUCCCCGACCCCCACAAAACCCUAAUCCCCGCCCCCACGAACGAAGACGAAGACGACGCAGAAGCGGGGGAGGAGGGGAUUUGUAGGGCAACAUCGAUGGACGUAUCGAUCGAUCGAUCGAUCGAUCGAUGACCUCUCUCUCUCUCUCUCUCUGGAAUCGCAAAUGGGGAGAAAGGGUGGUGGGGAAGGGGACGAGAAGAGGUUCGCGUCGCCAUCGACCUCAUCGCGAUCGACACGUAGGUCUCGUGGAGGGUGUUUUAUUCGGCUUUCUGUUGUCGAGCACCUGCGCCUCCUCCUCCCCAGUCCUCACUCGCUCGCUCCCACUUCUUUUUCGUUUUUUUUUCUUUUUUUCUUUUGCUUUUUAUGCCCUCGUACGAGGAAAGGGUCGUCGUUUUCCGUCCGACGUGUCAGCGCGAGGAAACGACACGUUUCGGGAAACAGAUGAGUGUUUCCCGGACCAAUAGGAAUUCGUAACGUGGCAACGUGAUGAGUUGUCCCGCACUUCGCGCGCGCCUAGUUGCAAGAAUGUCCCGUAUAAUUUCGAAUAGUUGUUGGAGUGGAGGAAUUCUACACUGUCACACUUGCACCACGUUAUCAAUAACAAGUUAAUCACAUUCCUUCUUUUCAAACAAAAGUAUAAUUAAAAUACUCUUUUACAAUCAUGAUGGGACAUAUAUCCUUAAAAGGAUUAACUUGAUUGGUUUGUUACGCCACGUCACUAAUACACCCGUUGCAUUCUAAAAUUUUUCGUUGGAGUGGGGGAGUACGAAAAGGAGUUGGACAUAGAAGAAACAUAAGGAAAUAUAAAGAAAGAAGAGGAGAAAAAAUAAUGUAAUUAUUUCUAAAUUUAUUUAAAGAGUGUAAUUUUUAUCUUAAAAAAUGUAAUUUAUAUAUUAAAAGUAUAAUUUAUAUUUAUAACAGUAUAACGUUCUUUUAAAAUAGUGCUCUUUUUUUUUUCGUUCUCUUCUAAUUAUUCUUUUUUAUUCUCUAAUUUUUAGCCUUUGAUUAAUUUUUUUUAGUUUAAGUAAACAAAAAUGUAUGACCAGAGAUACUGCAGUGGAGGUAGAGUUGGAGAUGGAGGGCAAAGAGAUGUUGGGUAUAGAAAAAGCACGAGAAAGCAGAAGUGAAGGAGGAGAAGGAGAAACAGAAUAACUAUCCACCUAAAGUGCUGUGCUCUUAGGAGUACGGAGGCCUUUGUACUCCUGAGCCGUAUUAGAUGAUAGAAUUUUCGAAUUGAUAAUCGACUCUGUUAGAUUUAAUCUAGCGUAUUUGAAGUUUUUAGAACAUAUUUUUUGUGAUUUUUUGAUAUCACUAAUCUAGCAAUCAAAAGGAUUUAACAUUAACGGCUGAAAAUAAAAACUUUAUAAAAAGUGGUGAUAUAGCACUAAAAUUUUCAAUGAAAAAUAUUAAUCUUGUUGUAGAUAGUAUAAAAAAUUUUGUAUCAAAAUUUUAUAUGAUUUGAGUACUUUUACGCCGUUAAAUUUGAAAACAGCAGACAUCAACCAUUAAAAAUUAUUGAUUUUGAACUCUUUCAAUCACUAGGUAAAUAAUAUCGAAAAAUCGCAAAAAUUAUUUUCAAAAAGCUUCAAAUAUGCUAGAUCAAAUCUAACAGAGCCGAUAGUUGAUACGAAUAUUCCAUUAUCGAAAACGGCUCAGAAGCACGGCGUCUCCUAAGAGCACAACAGUCUUGCUCUAAGAUUUACAUUAUAUAUUUGGAUAAACAAAUAGAGUUUUCUCAAAGUGAAAAUGUAUGAAAUUUACUUGACUGGUGAAUUAAAUUUAAGCAUCUAGGUGUAAAUAUUUUGAUUUUGUGAUCUAAUAUUUCAAUCAUACUUACUUGACUGAUGGAUUAAAUUUAAACAUCUAGUUGUAAAUAUUUUGAUUUUAUGAUCUAAUAUUUCAAUAAUUUUAAUUUCAGCUAUUUGAUGAUUCCUUUGAACAAAGUUUGGACAUUCAUUUUAAUUGAAAAAUAGUAAUGCUAAAUGUACAAAACAUGGAAACAAAAACUAUCAAAUAGCUCAAAUCAAAUAUAUCAAAAGAUCUAACAUCUAAAUGAUUUUUCUCGCAGAUUAAAUAACACCAAUAUCAAGUGAAAUGAAAUGAACAAUGUGUUUACCAAGAUUAAAAUCUUACUUUCUUAUUCUACAAUGGUCAACCGCUUGUUCGCGACAAUAACAUUAGAUCGAAGCCAUAAGAUCAGUUUUACUUCAAAACGAACAAGAUAAGAAGAGAAAAAAAAAAGAGAAAUUGAAAUUCCAUAAAUAGUACAUAAAACCCAUACACAAACACCCAGAAGUAGCACAUUCCUUCUACCCAAGAAAAGGAUGGUCUUACAGUAUCAAAAUGUAUCAAAAUAGUUGUUUUCGCCGCUUAUUCUCGCAAAAGCAGUAAAGCAAUAACUAAACUGCUUCUUCAUAGAGGAAUGUUAAAAGCCUUCUUCAGCUUCUCGACUUCCAAAUAAGCAGUGGAGUAGGGAAGAAACUCCGAGAAAUGGCUUUGCAUGAGAUCGUUAAUAGCCACCGCAAGCUUCGGGAUCUCCAGAGUCUCCUCGUGGGUGAGUUUCCGAACAAACCGAGCUGGGUUUCCGGCCCAAAGUUCGCCGGUCGGAAUCCUCCGGCCCGGCGGGAGAACUGACCCGGCUUCGAGGAUUGAGUUGGUCUCGACCAACGAGCCCUCCAUGAGGACCGAGUGUUGGCCGAUUAUGCACUCAGGUUCGAUCGUGCACGAGCGCAAGAGACAGUACCCGCCGAUUGUAACAUAUCGAUCGACGGAUGUCUCGGCUGGAAGUCCUGUUGAAACUAGAGAAUAAGGACCGGAAAGGUUUAACUUCAAUAUAGUUAAAAUGAUAGAGUAAUGUGUACCUCAGCCUACACCUCAAAAUACAGUUGAUAAGCCAGCUUCGCACAUAUGACAACUAUUUAAAAUUCAACUUUUCAAAAUUAAAUGUCUAAAUCACAUAUCAUGAACGAAUUUCAAAAAGCUAAAUAAUUAAUUAAUUAUCAUAUGUACAAAACUGACUCAUCAACUAUAUUCUAAGAUAUAUUUUAAGAUACUUUAACCAAACUAAAUAGCAAUAACAUAGAACAAAGCUCUUAGGAAGGAUAUUAAUCCCAGUACUAAGGACAGAAUCUUCCAACCACGCACUAGCAAAGGGUUUGAGGUUUAUUACUUGUUCAUUACUUCAUUAGGUGCUGUGAAUUCCUUCAUUGUUACAGCAUAUGGCAACACCAUUUCGGCAAUACAAUAUUAAGACAAAAGUGAAAAAAAAAACAUCAAAUUCAAUAGAAAAGGAACAAGCUAUUGAGACCGAAUAGAGACUCACGACUGUCAAGUUGGUCCAAAAAUUCUUUAGGAAAUCUAUUUAGAAUACCGGGGAUCUUUAUAGUUAUGACUUGCAUAUAUGUCACGCCAUUGUUUCCUAUAAAGAAAGUCAGAUCAGAUCAAAGCCCAAAAGGGCUCCGGUUAUGAAAGAGGGAGGUACAUAGUCACACAGUAAAGUACUAUAUACUGCUGAUAAGAAAAGGGGUCUUUGACAAGAUUGAUAUAACAAGAAGAGGGUACCAAAAAUUUUUGAAACUAAGAUGAACAAGCACAUAUAGAACUUAUUGGCCUGACUUCUAGAACAGCUUCUCUACGUUGGGAUGCAGCGACUAAAUGCAUGAUGAACAAAUAAAGCUAACAGCAUUUUUUUGUGAAAAGAACCCAAAAUAAACUUCUUGGCUCCAAAAAUAGGCCCAAUUUGAACCUUCUGCUUUGCUGCAGCAGAAUGCUUCUUUAGGCAGAUAUGUUUGAACAGCAAAAUAAUACAAGCUCCAGACAGAGAAAAAAGCCCUUAUUUAGGUGCUUCGUGGACCGGUAGAGGAAAUAUGAGAAACAAAGUACGUCGUAGAAUAACAAGUUCACUGUUUAAAAUAAGGCUAAAAAUCAGAUUAGCUACUAUUAAAUGUGCUGUACUAACUCUAUGACCUGACUCUUGCAUAUGCAGUGGCCAUGGGUUAGAAAAUAUGAAGCAGAAAUCAAGGAAAUGAACCAGAAAGAAGAUGAAUGGGGAUUAGAUCAAUAAAUUUACUGAGUUGUCGGUAAUGAUUACAGACAUUCAUUUCUAUGUGAAGAACUACAGAAUCAUCAGAAGGAGCAAGGUAAUGCGAGAUAAUUAUUCUCCAACAACUGGACAUGAAUGGUUCUUGGGUUUACAACAAAGAUUUACCAACGAACAAAAUGUUACUCUAGGACAACUAAACUGUUUCAGUUUGCUAGAGAAUAAUUUACGAUUAAAGCAAAGCAUAAAUUCAGCAAAAAAAAAAACGAAACGAAAUUGUACAUGGAGAAACAAAGGCCCAUGUCCAAAAGUUUGGCAAGGGAAAGACAUCCUAAUAGGAAAAUAAAUUUUUGUAGAAGCAUACAGUCUAGUGCACUCAGCAUGAGAUGAGGGCUGAAUUCAUUGAUUCGAGACUACGGCCAUCAAGUGUGUUGACUAUUGAGACGAAUCUCUAGGCAUCCAACUUGCAUGGCUGAGGUGAUAUAAAAUGAGCAUGUCAUGGAAGGUUAACUUUAGGAGUAAGAAGCUGAUAUAGCUAUAGAGUACAGAUAGUCUUAGUUGCCUUGCUUUGACCUCAAACAGUACCUAACUUAGGUUGUUUCACAGCUACUGUGCAAUAGUAUUGAGAAUCUCGCUAUGAAAGCAUGACAUGCUUGAAUCAGUGCCUAUUCGACUUGGCUUCUAGAACAGCUUUUCUACUUUAAGAAGUAGUAGCCAGAUGUUUGCCACACCAAUCUUUAUGCUUUUGCUAUGACGGAAUGCUAAUGUUAGCUUUUACGCUCCACACGCAAACACUCCAUCUUAAAGUGUCUACUUCUGCUGCAGGAGAAAACUACAAGGAAGAUUUUAGUGAAGAACUAUCAAUACUUCCUCAAGCAACUUUACUCAAAUAGCACUUCUGUAGAAGCUCAAGUGCCUAUUUGGCCUUACCUGGAGUUUCUGCAAAAGUGCUAUUUGAGUAGAGUUGUUCGAAGAAGCAUUAACAAUUUUCUCAUAACAAUACUCCCCAAAGCUUCCACCUAUUGCAAAAGCAAAAGCUUUACAUUGAAGAUUUUGCUUUUAAAGCGUAAAGCUUCUUUCAUCUCCCAGCUAUAGCAAAAUCUUUAAGCCUUUUGUUUGUCAAACGCCUAACUACUACUUCUUCGUGUAGAGAAGCUAUUCUCGAAGUCAAGUUAGACAAGCACUUAAUUAUAAAAAUAAGCAUUUAAUAUUGGUCAUACUUGAUAAGAGUUCUUAGAAAAACAAGAACCCACCACCAGCAACAAUAACUUCGCUUUUAAAUUCAAGCAAGAUGACAUACUCUUUUCCAUGGCCAGUAACAAUAACAAGAAGACCAUCACCAACUUCUUAUUUUCCUAAAGGCUAGUGAUAUUAGCAGAGCUAAGAUUGCUAUUAACUAGCAGGUUCGCUGAACCAAAUCAAGUUUAUCAUGCGACAACUGACCAGGUUCAAUGCGUGUCUAGUAAUAAAAAUACUGUCCUCCUAAUAUCACUGUUCUUUCCUAAUUAAUUCCAUCAUAUUGUUGCAAUUAGGAUCCACUUUUCCCAAGACUGUCUUCUGUCGAAUUGACAUUCAAGCUUUCUAAAAUUCUUCAUAUUAUUCUGUCGCUUUUCUAACUGAAUUAAAAUAAAGUACAAAUUCUCAUUGUUGUCCCUUUAGCUUCUCCAAUCACUAGUAUGCACACAGCUCCAAGGUCAUUUCACUCAGCAACUGCUUACUCUAGUGCCAUCACCACCGGUUGAUAGAUUGCUCCGACUUCCAAAAUCUCAUGAUAUCCAUCAUAUAUUUGAUAAUCGGAACAACGUUAGUGCAUUACCUCUUUCUCCCACCCUAACUUAACUGAUUAUUCUACUACUAGAUCUUUUACUGUUUAUCUAGUCAUGAUUAACUGGCUCGAAGGGACUUGAAUAAUUUGAUAGCAUCCUGAGACUAUUAAUUUCAGCAUUCUAAUGUAGUAGCCUACACUCUGCUAAGAAUUUGAGAAAUCCCCGUAACGCAAAAUUCAAUCUCUACUAAUCAAUAUUAUCAUUUUAAACUACACAUCAAAAUAACAAAGGAUUUCACAAGUCAACCUCUUUCCCCUUAACUUCCUGAAGGAAUUAACCUAUCACACCUGCUAUAAUUUGAUCAUUCAAACAAUCACUACAAUUAACUAACCUGUGAUCUAAGGCUAAACAUGUUUACAAGUAAUCUUUAAGAUUGGCAGUAAAAAUAAAAAGUUCCAAAAAUUCGGGUAUCUAUACCAGUAGUAAGAUCUCGCAGAUCCCAUAAACUGAUUCGAUGUCUCAGUUUCAAUCAAAACGAAACCAAAUUGUUGGAUCCAUCGAGUGAAGAGGUGAAAAUGGGAUCAAAAUUGAUAGGACCUGUAGGGGAGGACCACGCGGCGUGGAGGACGCAUCGCUCCUGGACAUUAGAGGAGAAGCCGAGGGUGAUCUUGUUGAGGUCGCCGCGGAGGACGGAGCCGUACCACACGGAGGCGGCGUCGUAGAUCGUGACCUGCCCCGCGAGGACGGCGUUGGGGGCGACGAAGGCGUCGACGGCGAUCUUUGGGACCCACUGCCCGAGCGGGAUGAUCUGCCUCUGGCCCCUGUAGUCCCACCGCACCCGAUCCCCGGAGGUCGCCGGAGAAGACGCCGGAGGAGGCGGAGACGCCGCCGGAUGAGCCGCCGCCGUCUCGGAGGAGGAGGAGAGGGGGAAGCCGCGGCUGAGGAGGGGGCGGAGGGAGGAGGGGACGGAGGCUAGGGUUUUGCGGGAGAAGCGAGCGAGAGCCGCCACCAUUUUUCUUUCUUUUUCCUCUCUCUCUCUCCUCUCUAUCUCUCUCUCUCUCUCUUGCGAUCUUCGAUUGGGGGGAAGGGGAAAGAGAGGGGUUGUUUGUGUUGGAGUUUUUGUGUGUGUGUGUGUGUGCGUGUGUGCGUGUUUGGUUGAGUUUAAACUCUCGUUGCUCUGCUUCGUGAGUUCGGGUUCCACAGCGCGAUUGCGCGAUUUGGUCGCAGUGGACGAGAGUCACGAGACCCAGUAACAAACUAUACUAGUUAUAGUAUUCUAUAAUUAAAAAUAUAUUAAUUUAGUAAUUUUUUUCUUUUUCUUUUUUUCUGUGAACCCUUAGUAAUAUUUGGUUAAAUCAUAUACAAAAAACUUCAUAAACCCCAUCUCGAUUUAUUAAAUAUUCUCUUUAAUUUUCUUUAGUUUUAACUUUGCCACGAAUUUAACGGAAAAAAAAAAUAAAUAAAGAGGAUAAUAAAAAGAGAAAAAAAUCAUAUCCUAUAUUUUUGUGAACUCUCUUUUACUUCCUAAGAUUCCCAAUGAUUCAGCAGAGAGCUCCACUCAAGAAAAAUUAGCUGACACAAACAGGCAAAAACUACUACAUAACAAGAUUACAAAAACAACCAUCGUUUAUUAGUCUCUUUAUUCCCAAGUUAAUACUAAAUUUCACAGUAAAGGCGCAUAUGUUUUCACCUGGAAUAUAUAUCAACUGAGAAUAACAAUCUUCAAAUUCAGUAUAACUACAUUUAUUUUCCCCAGAUACCAACUCAAAAUAACACAAGCUUCAACAGAUGAUUGUGAUAUUAAACCCUCGCCAUACUUUUUUUUGAGUUACUAUUCGAUAACGAGGCAACGUUCUCACUCAUAGAGUCCUUAAAAUAUCAGUUCGUCAUAUGAAUUGACUUCAAUUAUUCUCUCCUUAAAGAUCUCUAGAUUUCUACAAAAUUCAGAGCUCAAAAUGGAUACGAGUAAAUUGAGCACUAUAAAACAUAUAACACGUAUAUUUGCAAAACCAAAGAGACCUAAAUUUUCGCUUCUCUUCUACUGCGAAUAACUAGAAAAUGCCAAGUAGGAAAUAUGAUACACAUGGAGAAUAAUAACACUUGAAUGGGCCAGUUCAUCAGCUCGCGGUACUCCGGGUUCGGGAGAGAACGUUGAGUCCGGGUAGCUUCCACGCAAAGCGGUUCGAACUUGAUGUGCUGGUAUUAGUGUUGCUCUGUUCGGUGGAAGAUGAGGCUCCGUUGGAGUGUUCAGAGACAACUGGUUUCACAGAGUUCGAUCUGGAGAAGCCUGGGGGAAUUGCACUAGCCUGGAGCACCUGAAAUAAUUGAGUUCAAAUCAUGAAUUAAGAGCAACAAAAGAAAAAAAAGUUUUGUUUCUUUUGGCAUACGUAACCCCUGCAAAUAUGCAAAAUAGUGCAAUUAUCCAUCCCGAGUAAUAGUAUUUGCACAUGCACACCAUUGGAAACCGUAUUUGUCUGUAUUCAUGCCCCUACCAAGCCAUGAAUGCAAAAACUGUUAUUGUGUUAGAUACUCCUGGGCAGGGGCACGAGCAGAUAAGUUAGGCUUUUAGAGGCACACAUGCAAAAUACCAAUCACAGAUGAAUCCGAUUGAUGGCAACGCUAAAACCGUGUUCCUAAUUUGACCUGGCUUCUAGAUUUGUUAAUUGCUCGAAAGCAGAAGCAGACUUCCUAGAGCUUCUAGCGGUGGCACAAAGCCAGAAUGAGCUUCUAGAUGCAAUCGGAAGUUUAUGGGCAGAUUCGAAAGAAUGCAAAUUACAGCUUUUUCGAACAACACGGAUAUAAACCUGCCUCUUAUAAAAAUGGUGUCAUAUGUAAGCACUCUACCAUCUAAUUCGGUUUAAUCUUUUCCUAUCAAGGAGUUCAAUGAGGAAAAAUAAGAAACAGAAUGUAACAAUUGGGAUGUGGUUUACUUUUAGACCCGAAGCAGAGAUGGCUGUCAUGGUGCGCAAAACCUACAAAAGGAAAUAAAAUAUUAUUAGAUGAAAUGAAGGUGCUUAUUUAUCAGCUAUACUUCAAAAUUUAAGGAAUCCCAACCUUAGGUGUCUCAACUGAAGCUGAUGAAGAUGCUAAUGGCGAAGGUGUUUCGAGUGCUGGAGGGGGCAAAGAGCCAGCCUGUUAUGAUUGGUGAUUGACAUCACAAAGUUAGCAAGCGCACAAAAAAGUGCUUCGAAAUUGCCAAUGGAAUUUUUGCAUAUACACCCUGUGAAAUCUGAAUUUUCAUAUAUGCCCCAAGAAAAGCAAUUAUCCAUUUCGUGGGGGGAAAGUUGGUUUUUAAUUAGAAAAAACAGUUUUGUGGGGCAUUUUCCAACUACAAGGUUAUAUGUAAGACGUUAAUAUGUUAAGAUGUCUCAUUGGAAAGUAGUUCCCAGUUACCCUUGUGACUGGUGAAGACCGCGAAGAUUCAAUAGCUGGAUAGGAAGCACUGGAUGGCAAAGCCUGAAAAGAAUAAAUAGUUGAUUAGAUCUAGCCUUCUAUAGAAAAUAACAACUUUAGUAUUAAAAAUAAUGCCUUUUUAAUAACGCUUGCACAUGAACAUGCUAAUAUCCUGGAAUACAAACCUUGACGAUGAAGUAAAACAAGGUAUUUUUGCAUCUAUAUAUCAUUAAUUAAGUGUGAGGAGGAGGCAGCAAUUAUAACAAAUCAGCAUGGAGUGCUCAGAUAUUGAAUGGAUUCAUGUCCUUUCAUUAGCUAGUACGGGUUACAAGUUCAAAUUGUAGUGAUGCAGGUUUAUCCCAUGUAAUUAAGGCCUCACAGAGACCAUAAAAAAAUGGAUGAAUCUACAUUUUUUUCGACUUAAUAGAAGAAGGAAACAACAACAAGAAGUUUCAUCAACUAAAACAAAUGCUAGAACAAUAAGUUCAAAAAUAACCAAUAUGGAACAAAGCCCAAUCAAAUAUACUAAAUAAAAUGAAAACAAAUUUAGCAACGAUAACUUGCCUGAGUAGACUCUGCAUUUCGGUUUUGCUCCAAGGUAUUCGCAAACUUGCAUAAUCUGUAUAUCCCUUCUGUUGUAUAAUCCUGAUAGUUUAUUCAAAACCCUACCUAUUAGUAUACUAUAGGAUAGAAGCUGGAAGAGACCAUCAUAAUGAUAUUGCACUCAAAUACCUGACUUGACUCAAGCUCAUAAAGUUUUGUUUCCUGAGAUUAAAAAAAAGCUAAGAGUCGGCAUUAUUCUUAGAGAAAUGAGAGUUAAAUAAGGCUAAGUGCAAGAUAAUUCACCAGAUUUUGCACUACAGAAUGAACAGAUUCCAUUUCCAGAUGGAAGUUACUGAGGUCUCCAUGCAUUAAAGUGACCUAGAAAUGAGUUGAUACAGAAGAAUUUUAUUCAGGUAGUCAAAAAUGUGAAAAGAUAAAAUGCAGAAAACCCUUUUAAUUUUUCUGAUUAUCACUUUGCCGGGAUGACAUUCAGAAAACUCUACUCAACCCCAUAAACAUUUAUGCAGUUUGUCUUUGUUGCCCCUUUCCUCAUUGUUAUAUAAGAAUAUGGCUCAGUGUUCAGUGAAAAUAUGAUGCGUUUCUACUCUCAAAAUAUAUAUAUAUAUAUAUAUAUAUAUAUAUAUAUAUAUAUAUGAUGCGUUACUAUCUCUAAAAACUACCCAUGUAUCACACAAUCAGUUGAGGUCAGAAUAAUAUUUAGUAAAGAGCUUGGAAGCCUUUCUCAUCAGAUGAAGAAGCACCUACAUGGCCAAAAUACCCCAUCAUCAACAAACAGGAGAUCACAUUUGAAGACAAAAGGCUAGCAAUAACAUCGAUCCAGCCAUAGAAAACGUGUAAUGGGUAUUCCGGAACAGUCAUUAUCUGGUUUUAUAAGGUGAUUAUAAGGCAACUGAGAGAAAUGAGAUGGAAGGGGGCGAAGUAACAAACCACAUUAAUUAAGGUGUUUACUGUAUAUUUUUGAAUUUCAGGGGGCAAAAUCAUAAUUGAGAAAAUGUCAGAGUAGUUUCUGCAUUUUAAAAAUUUUAAAAAAGGUCCCUCACCUGAUCUUUGGUUUCAAUAGUGAUCUCCUUGCAUUCAUCUAAACGACAAUCGACACGAUCAAUCCUAGAAGAUAAAUGCCGCUUUGCAGCCUGCAGAAUGGAAUUUUGAUAUUAAAUAUGAAGGAAAAAGAAGGCAAUGAAGUGGGAUAAAAAAAAAAGCAACCCAUGAUAACAUUACUUUAUAGUGAUGUUUUGUCAUCAUCAAGCAUCUAAGCACAAAUUUUUAUUUGUCUUCGGAAGCCCAAUGUAACUUGUAACUAACAGGCCAAAAUAAGAACAAUUUGGAAAGUUUAUGGUCUAAAAUUAGUACAGCAUUUGAUGGAAGCAGUCCUCAAUUGAGUAAAGUAUCCUUUACAAUCUUUGUAUCAUAAACUUUAAAAGAGAAUUCCUGUUAGUGUACAGUUCAUAACUUAAUAAAACAGGAUAUCACACGAUGUAAUUUAAUUAUAGAAAAAACAUAUAUUAACCGCAGUGGAGCUCAUCAUCUAAGUAAUGAUUGGAUUAGUUUAAAAGACGGAGACAAUUAAAAAUCAAAAACCACACUAAGAACUGAAAAGAACAAAAAAACUUACAGCGAUAGAAGAAGAAACUUGCUCAAGUUGUUUGCCUACUGCAGUGCAAGCAUCAGAUAAGCCACGCCGAGUCACAAACAUCAUAUCAGAAAGCUUCCAACCCUACAACAGAUGACCAAAACCUCUGAUUAACAUGACUACAGAGACAUUUAAGAAUAUCCAGAGGAAUAUGACAGAAGUUCCACAAUAUUUAACUAGACUUUUAUACAAGAUAUACAAAUCAGCUCUAGUAAUAUAUUUUGAAUAGUUGUUUGAUAAUAAAUUUAAGGGUCCGAUUGGCCUAGUUGUGGGCUCUAGGGAGUACUGCUGCUGAAAAAGUACAGUAGUAAAUAGUGCGGUGCUGUUCUUAAAAAAAAAAAAAAAAAUUUGUAGAGCGUUUGACAGCAUUUGUUACAAAAAUAUUGUCUACUAUAGAAAGUUGUUACAUAAAAACUCUGAUAAAUUAUUACAAAAGUAAAGUAUAUUAAAUAUAUAUAAAUUUAAUUAAAUGGUCAAAUUAAUUACUUUUUAUUAAUAUUCCCUUAAUUUUUCAUGUUUUAAAUUUCAAAAGAAUUGGUCUAUUAAAUAAACAAUUUUGUCAAAAUUUUCAAAAAUUCUACAGAACUUGGUUUUUUAGCAAACAAAAUUAUGACAACUAAUAGCUAACAUUUAAUAAAAUUAUUAUCGAACAAUAAUUUUUGUUUAACUAACUGCAAUAUGAAACUAAAGAACCUAGAAGUUCAAGAGAUAUUAAUUCAAAAAAUUAAAUUAAGUAAAAAUUAACAGGAGAGACAAAGAGAGAAUUCAAAAUCAAUUUGAAAUUAAAGUUUUAACUUUAGUACAAAUUUUAAAUUUAAUAUUAAAAUCUGAUUUUAAAUCUAAAUUGAAUGUAAAAUUUGAAUUCAAAUUCACGUUUUAAAUCUGGAAUUCAAAAUCAAAUUCUGAAAAUAACUUUAAAAUUCAAACUAAAAUUUGAAUUUGAAUUUAAUAUUAAGCACAAAGUUUGAACUUGAAUGCAGAAUUGAAUUUGAAUUUAAAAUUCAAAUCCAAAAUAAAAAUUUAAAUUUAGAAUAUAAACCCAAAAUCAAAUUUAUAAGUCAACUGCAAAAUUAGAAUUUACAUUCGAAAUUCGAACUCCAGAUCAGAAUUCAAAUUUGAAAUUUGAACUAAAGACAAUCUAAUCAUAAAUUUUGAAAUUCAAUUCAAAAUGUAAUUUAACUUCAAAUUUUGAUUUUAAAUAUGAAAUUUAAAUUCUAAACCAAAUAAUAAUUAACCUACAAAAAAUAGGUUGGAGACCAAAAUAAAAAAAAAAAUGCUAAGAUUAAGGACUAAAGAUAUAAUUAAUCUUCUGCAGAAGCUCCUGUAACGGAGCUUCUGCACUUGGGUUGCAGAUUGCUGAAGGAUUGCAGAACGCACAAAAGUGUGUUCCGCCCUUCUCGCCAAAUGCCUAGUUAUAGGCUGAUCCACGUUUUGGCCCGGCAAAAGUCAGGCCAAACGGGUGAUAAGGAAACUAGUAUUCACUAAUUACUUAUAUGUAUUAAUUAAUUAUACGUAUCUGGCUCAGACUUCACUGGACCUCACAUGAUUAACAUUGAUGGCUAUAGGCUAUUUCAACCUGGGAAUUGAGAAACACAACACAAAUCCUAAUAUCUCUUUAGAUUCUCCUUGAUUGUUUUAUUAGCAUGUGUUUGCUAUAUCGCACAUCCAGCCUGGUUACAAUCAACUGAUAAAAUUAGUCUGGACAUAAUCACCUCGCUUGUUCCUUUACUAUCAAUGUUAAGUCUUGAGAUAACCUAAAUCAUUAUCCACUUUCCCGUGAAAUGUUUAAAAUAUAUUUUGUAUUGUCAAAUACAUAAUUUAAACUUAAUAAAAUCGAACUGGUAAUAAUCACCUUGCAUUGUCUCAUUUUCAUCAAUCUUGAGAUGACUUGAUCAUCCAUUUCUAUGUCACAUGAAUUUCUGUAUUUCCUUGUUCUCUCUUUAUCUCUUUAAAGCCUUACCGCCUAUAACUCUAGAAGUGGUUUAGGUCCAACUAUUAAGACAUAAGCCUUAUGUCCUAAAGUGAUUAUUGUAAAAUGCUUGCUCUUCCUUUUUCUACUUUCUAGAUUUCAAGCGAUUAUUUGAACGAGAGCUGGAAGAGCAUUUACCUUCCACCUUAUGUAUCCAUACCCAACAGCUCCAACAAUAAUCACAGCUGUUAUACGAUAUGUACCAGAACCUGCAAUAGAAUAUAUGAUAAACGAUAAAGAAUGCCACUACAAACGAUAAGGAUAAAGCAGUUCUAAAUUCAUUACUUCAUAGGGGGAAAAGCUACGCUUUAAUCGACUUCAAAAAGUGAAAUGAAUCUUAUUUUCUAAUUAUUUUCUAACAUAGCAAUAAAUCUUUGUCAAAGGAGCUGUUUCUUGCAAAACUACCCACAUCUAAAGUUGGGUACCCAUACAAUUCAUGGAAGAAAAUGGUUUGCAGUAGAAGUUUCUUAAAGGCAAUUUUUGUAAGUGACUAUUCAGAUUUUGAAAGAGCAUAUUUACAUAUACAAUCUUAUGAUUGUAAAUAUCUUCAUAAACAAACAGUACAUAACCUACACAUAAAUGAGGCCAGAAGUUGGAAACUUUUUAAUCAUAUGUCACGAACCUGUUGUGGUAGUAUUAGUAAUAAUAGUAACUUCCUUCGUUGCGAACCGUUGCAGCUCUUGCCUUAGAAUAUCGACCUGUAGAAUUUCAUAGUGCCUUAAUUCCCACAAGAGCUUGUUCAUUGAAUGAAAAAAAUAAGGAAUACAAAAUGCCUCAAAGUAUAAACAAACUAGCAGAUUAAAUCUACAUACACACACUUUGAUCUUGAAUACUAUCGGUAAACAAACGGGCUAUGUAGUUGCCGAUUUGUUUUCAAUGAUAGAGCUUCCAAAUUGAGGAUCGAUACCGUUAAACAUAAUCCAGAUCAUUUAAGUAUCUAGAAAUCAAAUUUUUCGAUAUUGUUCUGUUGUGCAUCAAGUGAAUGCAAAAAUGAAGGGCUAGAAAUAUAUAUCCUUUUAAAAUUAAUGAUAGAAUUUUUGUAUUUAAGAGGUGUAUAUCUUGUUUUAAAUAGUUUUAAAAAAAAUUUAACAAAAAUUCAACUGAUUUGGAUUCUUUUACACCGUUUAACGAGCAAACACCCUGUAUCGAUCGUUAAAAUUAUAAAUUUUGCGGCGCUUCGAUCAUUUGGCGAAUGGUGUUGGAAAAAAAAAGGGUUUAGAUGGCCCAUUAGAAGCAGAAGAAAGAAAGAGAAGAGUCAUCAGGAGCAAGAUAAUUAACCUGAGCUAGUAGAGAAUCGGUAUGCGGUUUACUGGUGGAUUGAUUGCUACCAUCUUCCUGCCGAAGGUGCUUCGAGAAUAUCUACAAUAUUCAGAAACAAAUGUAAGGGACAGAAAUAUACAUUUUGCUAAGUAAUGAAAGGCAGUUCUCAAGCAAUAGUCGGUAAGGCUAUUCCAUGUUAAAACAGUUCUAGAUGGAGUACCUUCGAAGCACCAGAAAAUAUCUUUGUUAUGUCAGACAAGCUCGCUUUAUCGCUAAGUAUGGAUCCGACAAUUCCUGCAACAAUAACCGGAAAACUGAUAUACAGUUUACAUAUAUGGGAAGUCAAAUAUUACUCCUGAGAAUUUGCAUUAUACCAUUAUUUUUUCUGGGUCCAAACAGGACAAAUAUGGUCAUCAAACAGAACAAGAAAUGAAUAUAUUGCUAAAGAAAUCUUCGAAGCAAGAAGAAAAAAUUAGACAAAUAGGUUAAAACUUGAAACAACAACUAACAUAAAUGACAGAUCUAAAAACAAUCAAAUUUACUUAAAAUCAAAGCAAAUUGAGAAUUCAUAGCCUAUCAUUGCAAGUCUGCAUCAAGAACUCAAACUCCUAGAACGCUUACAGAUAAUAAACUUUUGUUUAGGCGCAUAUAAAUCUGACUGUACUUAGUACAAUCUAAAUGUGGUAACCCAAACUAAACUUUUCUGAGCCUAUGUUCUCUAACAAGUCCAAGUGAUUGUAAAUUCAUUACUCAAUACUACUCCAGGCAGUUCACUGAAAACGCAGUAUCUACCAUAUCUGACCAGUGACCAUGACCCUAACAUAUUAUACCAUCCAAUAUUCCCUUUAAGCUCAAAAGUUCUUAGUAAUCAGCAUAAUUAGGCAAACUAUGAGUAUGUCAAAAUCAAUACAAGAAGCAUUUUUUUCAAGUACUCACUUCGUUAUCACAAAAGGCCACUUCAUCAUACUUAUCUCCUGCUCUCCUAUUCUGCUUCACAUCCAACUCAAUAUUCCGAUCUUUCAAGAAUUUUACUCAACAAAACUAAACCAAAGAAGAACACUCAGAUGUUCCACAGCUUUCAUGAUAUAUCUCACGCUCAAAUCCUAAGCAAAAACUGCUUUCUAAGCAAUCAAUACGACAGUCACAACACUUUUAAGUCGUUAAUUUCUUUUCUUUUUUUUUAACUUAAUACUCAUUCUACUUUAGUACCAACGUAUCCACCAAUUAAAACCACAUCAAAUUCAGUUUAAAUCGCAACGAAGAGAAUGUUCGCAACAGAUUGAAGCACUAGCAUACCCUAACACCAAAUAAUUCGCGGAACCCUACGAAUCGAAAAGAAACAAUAACAACAACACAGAAAAUCCUCGAACAAACACUCGGGUUUAAGAGGAUCAGAGAUCAAUGGAAGGGGAAGAGGAGAAGAACUGAAGAACCUGCUCCGAUGACGAGGGUGAGCUUCCCGAGCGCCAUGGCCGAUCGAAAACCCUAGACGAUCACGCGGGCACCACCGAUCAUCGAAUCGCUCUGGCUCCGCGAUCGAAGGUUCGAUUCGCGCGGAGAGUGCGCCUUCUAGGGUUUUGCGAGUUCUAGGGUUCGCGCUCGACCCCAACCCUUUGCGUUUUCUCCUCCACUCUCUACCCACAAGCUCUCCCCAAGUAUUCGCCAAAACGCCGUAAUAUACUCUGCUGAGUACUCAUAAAGAUGCCCAUAAUUGUGACCGUAUUUACGGAAGUGCCAUCGUAGAUACCGUAUUCGCAUACGGUGUCUCGCGUAGAAACUUUUUUUAUAUCGCGGAGUCGUGAUACGCGAUAUGUGCCGUCCGAUUGAACUAACGGACGAUUCAGAUUGGAAAAAAAUCCUAAAUGAACCGCGUGCACCGUCUUCAUUUGUGAACCGCAUACAAUCGAAAGUUAUUUGACGGCUAUGAUUGAAACCUCUGGAGAAAUAAGGGCCAGAUCAUAAGCGGUUCAUCAAUGAUACGUGAGAGGAGAAAAUUAUGUGGACCCGGUUUAUAAGUACGUUCUAUACACCACGUAGCUAACGAAAUAUGUGUUUUUAAUAUAUUUAGAAUAUAUACAUUUAUUAAAAAAUAAUAAAUUAUGGUUGUUGAUUUUUUGUGACCCUUUUACACUUUUCGUAAAAAAAUAUAUAUAUAUGCCAUUUUAUGCAAAUGCUCUUGCGACAAUUAUCAUUAAAUAAAUAAAUAUUACGUGAGGUGCAAUUUAUACACCCGGUUUAGGGAAAAAAUUCCUCCGAAGGUUCUGGGAGCAAUGUCACAACCUUUGGAUCGUAAUCAGACGGUUGAAAAUGUCGUUUCUCCUCGAUAAUUAGUGCUUAACUCUUAGCCCUUACAAUUAUUGUAAAUAAAUAAAUAAAUAAAUGUAAUAUAUAAGGAAACACCAAUUCUAAAAUUUUAAUAAAUUAAUUACUACUUGUUAUAUAUAAAAUACUGAUACAUAAUUAUUUUUCAACACUAUUUCUAUGAAAAAUCAUUUUUUUUAACUAACAAAGUAUUAAAGCUUAUCAUAAACCUCUAUAUAUUUUUUUUUUUCAUUUUCUCUAUUAUUUGUUACUCGAUCUUUUUACAACUGACUCAUCGGUAAUACUCGAAGAAAUUGGAUAAGCGAAGCUUUCCUCUUUUUAAAUCACAUUUUUAUUUAAUUAUUUAUUUAUUUAUGAAAAAAGCUUUAAAUAUAAUUUCUGUGGUUUUUCACUUUUUUAUUUUAGUAUUCUAUAACUUAAAGUGUAUCAAUUUAGUACUCGUGCCUUUAUUUUCUCUUUUUAUUAUUCCAUCUGCUAAUUUUUUUUGUUAAAUCAGUCACAGAGUUAAAAUUAAAAGAUACUUAAGUGAAUAUUCGACAAAUUUAGAUAGGAUAUCUGAAAUUUUUUGCAUAUAAUUUAACGAAAUAUUAACGGAGGAGCUGACGAAAAGAGAAAAAUGAAAGCACAGGAUACUAAAUUGAUAUAAUUUAAAUCAUACGGUACUAAAGUGAAAAAUUGCAAAUUUACAGGGGUGGUAUUUGAAAUUUACCCUUUAUUUAUAUAUAAUAAUUAAGCAAAAUGAUGGUGACACUUUUGUGGAGAAUUUUUCACCACGACAGGGAGAAAAGAUACAUACUACAUUUCUUGGGGAAGAAGAAUAUCCUUAUUACUGAUAUUUUGGGGCGGAGUUAGGUGUGUAAAUGGGUCGGAUCUGGGUUGACUUUGUAGGGAUCCAAACCAACUCCAAUUUAAAAACAACAAUUCGGGUCAAGUUGUUGGUAAUGUGGGCUGUGUAGAUUACAUAUCCGUAUUCGCAUUUAUGGGCUCUUUUAUCCUUGUUUCUCUGCUUUUGUUUUCAGUAAUAAAAAUUUCUAUAAAAUAAUUUUAAAAAUUUGAAAAAAAAGAAAAGAUUUUUCGUUACGAGAAAAGUAAAAUUGGUUCAUUUGAGACUUAGUUUGGUAUUGAGAUUUAUCUAUCGCUAUUAGAUAGAAUGAAGUUGAGGAAAAGUAUAUAGAGAUAUACUUCUGCGUUCUCACCAUAGAAAAUAUAUCGUAACCGAUUAAUCGUAAUAUGUGCAAUGCAAUACUACGUACGGAAUCAAACAGGAUAUCUUUUCAUCAUCGUUUUUCACCACGUAAUGCAAUCUCCCCGCAAUUCCAAAUGAAACUAAGUGGCUCUGAUUCUACUUCAAAGAGAGGCUGUUGAAAAUAUAUGACGCGUGCUCCUGAUUCUGCUUCAAGCAGAAGUUAUUGAAGGUAUGUAGCAUAGUUCUUCUCCUUGUUAAUAUAGAUGGGCUCUACAACUCUAUCUGGGAUUGUGUGAACGAAGCAUUACGAGAGAGUGCAAUGAAAAAUAUGGCUAAGAGCAAUUUUUAAAUUGACUAUAUUUUAUUGUCAAAAUUAUUGAAUUUUAUAAACUGAGUCAAUUAUAGUAAUAUUAUAAAUAUUACAAUUCAACAUUACAUUACUAUAUUAAAUUAAAUGUGCUAAUGCAGCAUUAAUAGUAAUCUCAUUUAUAAAUCUAAAAUAUCUGGAUACAUCAAAAUAUUCUAUAAUAUUACAUAACUUGAACGAAAUGAAUCUUAAGUUCAAUAAAACAAAUUGAUUUGGUUGUUAGGGUCUGCAAUGUUGGAUUUGGGUGGAAUCCUCUUGCUAGUCUGGUUCAUUGCCCAUUAUAUUUCUGUUCUUUUAAAUUAAUAAAUAAUAAAUGAUUUUUAGUUCUUUAUGGAUGAUUAUUUUGCUAACUCCUACUAUAUAAAAAAAUUGUGAAAAUAUUUAUCUUACAUUAAUGAAAACCUUUGAUAGAUUUUUCACCACUUUCAUGUAAAAAAAAAAAAUGCAAAAUGAAUUAUUGUACUCUUUCACUUUAUUGAUGUGUUUUCAGGUGUUAGCUCAAAAUAUUGUAACGAACUAAAAUAGUAAGAUAUCUAUAACCUAUAAUAUGUAUCACUAUAAACUAUAUAUUAAUCCUCGAUUCCUUAUACACAUGGCAUAUCUAUAACUAUAGCUAUAUUUAUGUCUAUUUUGCUCGUUCAAGAGUAAGGGUAGUAAUUAAUCCAUUUGUGUUCGGUUCGAAAUAAGCUUGAGAUCGAAUCAUUUUUUUAAUAAACGAACUGAAUACAAGUUGAAUUUUUUAGCUCAUUUAAUAAACGAGUGAAACACGAGUUGAAUUUUUUGGCUCAAUGCUUUAAUGAGCCAGCUCGUGUGGAGCACAAACCAGCCUCAGCUCGCUCAUGUUCGACCCGAUGACAACCUUAUUCAAGAGAGCUCCCGGAAAGGGUUUAAAAUAAGCUAUGUUUGUAGCUCUUUCGAUCUAAAACACUAGUGUGAAAGUGUUCUAUGAACAUAGCAUGCUCUUAAUUUAUUCUAACAUCAUUCGGUCAACACAAGAAGGAACUUUGCAAUCUUAAAACUGUUAUAGUUAUCUUCUUCUGGAUCAAAAAAGGCCUACUUAUUUGACCAAAUGUGUUUGGUUCCUAACAUGCCAAGUGGGCUAUUAUGAAUCUAUGAUUGUAAAUUAUAAUCUAAUCGUAUUACUAAUAUUGUUUGAUAAUAAUGUCCAAUCAUGAUCAUUAUCAAUUAUUUAUUACACGAUAUAGCAGAGUAUUAUCGUUGCUUGCAAUUAUUAGGCUCGUGGAGGGCGAAUUUUGAACCAAAAGUUUAUAUUUCAGUCCCUAAUUUUUAAAAAAUUUUUAAGUUGCAUUAUCUCUUGCAGUCCCAAACAACUCUAAAAAUUCAUCACAACAACACUACACCACUCUUUCUAUUUAUAUAAUCUUUAGGAAGAUCACGCAGAAUCCUAUGCAAGUAGUCCACAAGUUUAAGCAGUUGAUAAAGGAGUGGGAUUAUAUUCUCACAGCUAAACUGACACUUUGAUUUUUUUUUUUUUUAUUUAUUUUUUUGUCAAACUUUCGAGGCUCAUCUCUGUAGCCUAGUUCAUUAUUCUAAUGAAUGAAGCGAUAGUGUACUACUUUUUCCUCAAAAAAAAUACUGAAUAAACAUAUGCAACUCAUUAUAUUGCAUGGGUACAUGAAUACAUGCAGAUACAAAUUUUUUUCGAAACAAUGUAAAAUGGGGAAUAGAUUUUGUUAACUAGAUUUUGUUAAAAAAAAAUGCAAGUAUUAUAACGCCAAUAUUUAAUUUUUAUGCAAUUAUUUAUUAAUAAGUGACCCUUCCAAAUAAUACGUGGAAUCUUACCAUUUAUUUGAUUUGAAUCAAUCAACGAUAUUUUAGUUUUAAAUUUUAAAUAUGUCGCAAUUAUAAAUUUAUUAAAAUAUCGUUGACCGUCUCAAAUUAUAUAAAUUAAAACAUUAAAUAAUUAAGGCUAAAUUACAGAAAAUUCUCUUGUAAUAACCCGUUUUUUCACUUUUCCUUCCUGACAUUUAAAAACCUACACUUUUUUCCCCUGUAAAAUAAAAAAUGUGCACUUCACCCCCUACCGUUAGGGUUCCGUUAAAAAAUAUAUUUUUAUGCCGAAAGUACCCCUCCGCCAUCUCCCUAUUGCUUCGCCUCCCUCCGGCUCGCCACCUCGCCGCCGCCUCGCCGUCUCUCAGCCUAACCGCCUCGCCAUUCCCACUGCCUCGCCCUCACCCACAUCUCCUUCGCCGUCCUCCGCCGCCUCGCCUUCGCCUUCUUUGUCUUUUUUCUACUGUCACCCACCUCGGUUUUCUCCUACUGUCGUCGAAAUCGAAAGGCGGCGAGGAUGCAGGAGGAGAAAGGGAGCAAGUGGAGAAGGAAAUGGAGAGAAAUCGCGGCCGAUUGAGGUGGGAAUCGCGGCCGAACGAGGGAGCGGCUGAGGAAGAUGGGAAAGAAGAUGACAAUGGCGAGAGGCAAAAUGGUCAUUUUAUAUACCGUAACCCUUCUGUGAAUAUUUUUCAUUUUAUAGAGGGGCAAAGUGUAGGUUUCUAAAUAUCAGGAAGGAAAAGUAAAAAAACGGAUUAUUACAGGAGAUUUUCUGUAAUUUAGCCAAUAAUUAAAUACAAAAUAAUUUAACGCUUCGCUAAGUUUUGUAAGUUUUUUUCUAUUUUCGAUUUUGCCACUCCGUGUUUCAUACGCAUAAAGAGGCCCCCAAACAAAAAGUAUACGGAAGAAACAAGGCACGCCCACUUCGCUUCCAUUGACACCCAAACUACUUCGGUGUAACGCUCUAAACAGUCUUAGAGAAUUUAUUCCCUGAACCCGGUGCAACCGUACACCCUGUGCACCGCAUAUCACACAGCGUUCAUUAAUUGCAUUAUUUUCCUCUCCUCCAAUAUUCGGAGGCUAAAGUGGACCUUUAUUUUUAAAUUUUAAUUUUUAUUAUAAUUUCUCGCUUAAAUUUUUAAGAUUAUUAUAAUUAGAUUUCAGAGUCUAAUAUAGUUGACUGAUUGAAUGACACUGCGACUAUAAAAUUCAGUUAAAAAAAUUAUACUACAAAACUUAAUUAUAAUAAUUAGAAAAAUGUAUAUCAAAAUUAUAAUAAAUGAAGAUAAAAAUAUACAGAAUUUAUCUGAACCAUUUUGAAUCGGCUACCUAUUCUUUCGAAUAUUUUGAUUUUACUAUUUAAUCUUUUGAUUUAUUUAAUUUAAGUCAGUCAAAAAUACUUUUCCUUCAAAAUUUAAGUUAACUAAUUUAAUAAAUUAAUAAUUACGAGAAUUAUAUAAAUUUAUAUCGAUUAAAUCUGUAAAAAUAAAUAACGUAUUUAAAUUUAAAAAACUAAAUAUGAAGUAAAUUAAAAUUUUAAAAUGAUUGAUAAAUUCAAAUAAAUUCCAUGGUUAUGUAGAGGGUAGAUGUGGUGGGGUACACCAAAUGUACGGAUAUCUCUGGUUCAGAGAAUAAUCAUCCCAAUCAUAGCCACGGUACUAACACGUGGACUCCACUUUCGCGGGGCCCACAUGUCAUACUCAAGGAUCCGUGGCAUAUCACCGUUACACCGAAUGAAAUGCGUCGUCUUCGUCGCCUCCUCUCACACUCCCCCGGUCUAUAUAAACCCGUCGACUCAUCCCCUCCUAUCUCUCUCUACUACCUCUCUAAUGGCGAUGGCGAUGGCGAUGGCGAAGGAGCCCUUGCUCCGACUCCGCGCCGCGGCGAACGAAGCCCUAGCCGAGUACGAGCCCGUCGCGCUCGUCCUCGCCCCUCUCCUCGCGCUCCUCCUCGCCCGCGCCCUCCACUCCGCCCUCGCCGUGCUCCACGAGAAGGGGAUCCAGGGCGCCGUGCUAGGGUUUCUCAUGAGCUCCGCGAAGUAACCUCUCUCUCUCUCCCUCUCUUUCUCAUUAGAUUGGGAUAAUUAAUGGCUAAUUUGGUGGUUAAUCCUCUUUUCGAUCGGUUGGAUCAGGUUGAUUCCCGGAGUGAGCGGCUACAUCGAAUCGGAGAAGAGGAAGGUUCGUGAUCACUCGAAUCUUUUUUAGUGAAUUCGAUUGUUGUGAUUAGAGAAAUCUAAGUUACUGUGCUGUGGACCUCGCGUGCAUGAGUAGGUUAUUUUGUUCAAGUUGGUAUUGAAUGGGAAGGGGAAUAAUAGUAGUUGUUUAAAACGAAUGGAAAUAGUAGAGUUAUCUAGGAUUCUAGAUCCCUCGAUCUUUGUGCCAAAUUGAGAGAAACCUCCUCCUCCUCCUCCUCUUCUUUUAAUUGGCCAUGGCUUUUAUAGUUUGUGUCAGAGUUUGAGAAUGUACUUUUGCCCAAACAAACCCUCAUUUAUGGUUCAGAGGUCCACAGAACCAAAAAGCAUUUUAGAAACUUCCUCCUACAAUGGUAAGAAAUGGUGAUGGGAACCACCACCAGAAAAGUGAAAAUUGUGGGCCAUGCAUUUUGUUGGUAGGUGAAGAGUGUUUUUUUGCUACUGUCCAAAGUGAGGGGUAAAAAAAAAAAAAGAGGAGCUUUUGAGCCCCAAAUUAAAAGCUCUAUUUGAAAAUUUCCCCUCUACUGCAACAGGAAACUAUUCAUUCUUUUUAAAUAGCAACUGUUAUACCGAAAUUACUAUGAUACAGCUACAUCAUAAUAUUUAGAAUGGAAUUUAGCGGAGCGAGUUCAUAGCAUCCGCUUUAGCUCGCUAAAAUGGGCGCUAUAAAACAGGGCCGAAAAGGACGCUAUGAGCUCAAAAGCUUGAAAAUUGCAAACAUGUCAAAAUGUCUUAUCCUGUCGGGCUUUAAAAUUAAAUAAAAUGAUCAAAAUCCUAUAAAUAGGUUAUAGAUUUUCUGUUUUUCUUUUGUCCUUUUGGUUUGCUAAAUCAUAAUAUUUUAAAAUUAUUCUUCUAGAUAAUGAGAUUAAAUAUGCCUUGCAGUACUAGAAAGAGGUAAUGUCUAGUUAUCUUUUCUUUAAAAUCAUAUGUACUUUCUAUAAGGAAUAUAGCAUAUUAAGUAAUUUUUUGUAAAAGCCGUUAUAGGUUCGUGGCACCCGAUAUGGCGCUUGCUAUCUACUUUCUAUUAUGAGAACCCCUAAAUGCUAUAUACCCACUAUCAGCUACUUACAACCUUAAAGCUAUUGGAGAACUUUAACAAAACUAUCGGUGUUACCAGGAACAACUUUACUCAAGAAGCAACUUUGUGGAAUCAUCAACAAUGCCAUUCAGACCAUUAAAACACAUGAUUUGUUUGUAUGCCAUGCAUGCAUGUUCAAUGUAUUACACAGACUUAACUGAAUUGAAACUAAUGGAUUUCUAUUGCUGGUUUUGUACUGUUUUUGUAGCUGUUUAGUAAGUUUAUUACUUAAACACUUUGCUCUAACUACUGUUCUUGGCAUCUUCUACUAGGUUGUUGACAAGUUGCAGUCAGGAAGCAAGUCUCAAAGAGAGAACUGGAGAACCGAGUUACCGAUUGUUGGGCUUAGUGAAGGAGCAAUUCAGGAACUUAAAGAAGCAAAAGCUAAAGAUGUGGUUUGGCAAGGCAAAUGCUCUGGUACAGUGUACGUCUGCUAUUAAAAAUUUAGAAGAUCAGCAGAUGCCGCAAAAUCACCCGAUCCGUUUCCAAUAAAUUAAAUGCUCAUCAAUCUUUUCAUGCUGCAGAUAUAUUGCUGGAAAUGAGUCUGAUGGCCAUUUUGCGCUGAUAAACGAGGCAUAUUCAAUGUAAGUUGAGACAACAUGGCGCAGUCUUAAUACUUUUCAGUCCAUCACUGUGUCCCUGAUUUAAAAUUGACCAACCUGACCUAGAUUGGGUUAUAUUCAGAUUAAAAUUAGUUUUGCAAGGAAACAAAUGUGAAUAUCUGUUGGACAAUGUCAGCUAUUCAUGUUGUAUUCGAUAUUAUUAUGGUAGUUAUCAUAUCGAUUAUCUUAAUUCAGGUUUUCACACACCAAUCCGCUACACCAGGAUGUGUUCCAGAGUGUGGCACGUUUUGAGGCGGAGGUGGUUGCGAUGACAGCUGCUCUUCUUGGCAGCAAGGAAAAGACAUCUGGAGGGCAAAUUUGUGGCAACAUGACAUCAGGAGGGACAGAAAGCAUACUAUUGGCUGUUAAAACAUCUCGUGACUAUAUGAGGUCGAAGAAGGGAAUUACUAAACCAGAAAUGUGAGUCAUAAGUGGUGUUGUUUCUAUGAAAUUUAGUCUUUGCAAUUUGAUCUGAACUUCAAUUUUGUCUUUAGAAUUUCAAUCGUAACAAUCUUGAAUCCCAUUUUGAUUUCACUCUCACUGUCAAUUCGACAAUUUGGUCCCUCAUGUUUAAUCACGAUUUCCAAUUUAGUCGUUAAGGUUUCUAUUUUAAAUAAGUGAAGUCUUACAAUGUUGGUUACAUGGUGCUUUUUGCAGCUAAUAUUCCUGUAGAAAGACUAUAUUGUUAUGCAUUACAAGCUUCAGGGGCUGAUUUGUUAUAAUGAAACUAUGAGGAUGAAAGUGAGACUAGGUCAAAAUUCAGGACUAAAUUUGUAAUUAACCCUGUUCAUAUUUGUCUUGCUCUCUUGCUAAUUGGCUAACUUAACAGGAUAAUACCUGAAUCAGCACAUUCUGCAUAUGACAAGGCUGCACAAUAUUACAACAUCAAGCUGUGGCGUGUACCCGUAAACAAGAACUUUGUUGCAGACGUUAAAGGAAUAAAGCAACGCAUCAACAGAAACACCAUACUGGUAUUUUACUCGUCCUCCACUCUUGUACCACACUCCGUAUGUUUCUGUUGAUCAGGAGUGUGGUUUAAUAUCAUUAUUGCACUAUUGAUCUAAGUAAACAAGAAUUAUGGUAUAGCUUACAGUAUCAGUUUCUCAUAAAAUGGAUUAAUGAUUAGAUUUUCAACACUAACGUGCUUUUCUUGUUCCAGAUUGUUGGUUCUGCACCCGGAUUUCCACAUGGCAUUAUCGAUCCCAUAGAAGUAUGUUGAAUUGUGGACAUCCUCCAAAAAAAUUUCGACUGCGUCACGGUAUUUGUUUGUGGAGUUUUUGCCUCCUUUGUUACUUACUCGAUAGUAUGAUUUUUGCAACUUAGGAGCUUGGAGAACUGGCGUCAUCUUAUGGUAUUUGCCUGCAUGUUGAUCUUUGCCUUGGUGGCUUCGUUUUGCCAUUUGCUCGUAAGCUUGGGUAUUUAUUCUUAGCGGGAUAAUCCAUUGCAUUCGGUUACACUCAACAUCUUAUGUUUUUAUGUUCUACUCCACUUUUAUCAUUGUUGCACUUUAAUAAUAGUUGGAACCAAAUAGAAAAUAAUAAACACAUUGUAUAUGAGAUCUCAAGUGGGUUUCGUCUUCAUCUUCAAAUAAAGAGUUAAUCUGAGAGUUUCCUAGCAUGCCGGCGUGUACAUGACAUGUUUAGAAUGCUAAAUUGGUCUCAUCUUAGAACCUAGAUUAAAUGCUAACCGCAUUCUGAAUUUUCAAGUGUGGAAGUGAAGAUCAGAGCUCGAAUCAUGAGGCCACAAAAGCAAAAAUUUACUUGGGUAUAUUGAUGUCAAGUAUACCUCAUGUAACAAACCAUAACUUCUACUUAUAUUGUGAGAGGCAAUUCAUUAAGUAGUGGAUGCAAUAGUAGAUGACCUUUUAGUGUUUUGUUGACAUUUUGGUAAUGGUAUUUGUAUGCAUAUAAUGAAACAUUGUGAUCUAUUCAUUAUUCAGCGCUUUAAUUUAGUUUCAAAUUUGAAGAAGUGGAGAAGGGACAUGAAUUCAGGUUUUUGACUAGUACUAUUGAGGAAAACACAUGGCAUGUUACAGCAGAAAUGAAAGUUGACACAGCAUCAAUGGAAAAAAAAAAAAAAAAACUUGAAGAGGAAAGAGCAUUAUUUACAAGAAAGAACAGACAAAACAGUGCUGGUUGCUGAUGAGUGAACUCCAUAGCUUUAGAUUUUUAAGAACCACUUGAAUUGUUAGUUGCACUGCCAAUGUAAUGUACUCUGCACUACACACUUCAUUCUUUUCUUAUGAAGAUAUGAUGACACAUAGUGAUCUAAUUUUCGUACUAGUAGUCUAGGUCCAUUUCCAGAAUGAUUCCUAUCGGCAACAUGUGCUGUCAUAUAGAUGCUUUAAGAUAACCAGUAGUAGUUUAUUGCAUCAUUCCGUAAGUUUUGCAUUUUUACCUUCUAAUUUAUGUUUUCCCGCAAAGGCCAUACGACUGUAGUUUUAAACAGUUUGUAUUAUGCAGGUAUCCACUUCCACCUUUCGAUUUCUCUGUGAAAGGAGUUACAUCCAUUUCAACAGAUGUCCAUAAGUAUGGAUUAGCUCCUAAGGGCACGAGUAUAGUUCUUUACAGAAAUCAUGAAAUUAGAAAGGUAAAAUAUCUAUCUGCUUACGCUGAGCUAUAAAUCUCUUCCGUAGUUCGAAGGAAACAUACUGAAUUUUUUGAGGGCAUCUAAAAACUAUUUCAGAAAUUCUUUAGAUGUAGAUUAUUGAAGAUUGAAGAACUCUAUGACUUCAUUAUCGAUGGGUACUAAUUCAUUAUUCAUUUUGUUUGCUUUGCACUAUCGACUAUUGGUGAUAUCUUCAACAGCAUCAAUUUGUUGCCGGUAAGUAAUUGUCCUUUACAUGAUUUUUGAAGAAUUAUUGUUAUUAUUAUUUUUCCUUCUGUUCUGAAGCAUGCUACUUUCUGAAGGUUUUCAGUUUCAUCCAAAUUGAAAAUUGGUUGCUAGUUGGACUCAUUCGCAAAUUAGCUGAUCAAUCACUCUAUUUUCUUAAUUAGGUUAGGUAGCCUAAAAUCAAGAGAUAGUAUAGUUGGACUCAUUCACAAAUUAUCUGAUCAAUCAGUCUAUUUUCUUAAUUAGGUUAGGUAGGCUAAAAUCAACAGAUAUGAACUUUUUUAAGGCAACAGAAAGGAUGAAAACUGAAUAAAAUAAAUGCUAAGUUAUGACCUGAUGAUGAUACUCUUAUCUAGGAAAUAUUUCUUCCUUGUGGUUGACUAAUACAAAAAAACAACAACUUUGAUUGGUGUAAGGUGGUUUUUUUUUUAUUGAAAUUUUGUUUUUAUAAAAUAAAUAUCUAAUGCAACUCCUUUCUUUUUCAUUCAUGGCCUUAUCUCCUUGUUACAGUAACUGAGUGGUCAGGCGGGCUGUACGUUUCCCCUACGAUGGCAGGAAGCCGGCCUGGUGGAUUAAUCGCCGGGGCUUGGGCCGCUAUGAUGUCACUAGGCCUGAACGGUAAACAAUAACUUGUUUUUCUUUUUUUCCUUUAUUUCCAACUGAACUUGAUUAAUACAAAGUUUCACUACAAUGCUUAAAACAAAAGUUGCACCUCCCCUGUUAUCUUAUUAUUAGGAUACUUGGAAAAUACGAGACAGAUAAUGGAAGUAGCGAAGAAGAUACAGAAAGGGUAAAUUGCGACAAAAAGUUUCACUUCAUUUUCAUUUGUGAAUGAAAAACUCAAGAUGUUCUUAACAUCAGAGACCUGUCCACAGGAUAGAGGAGAUUCCACAGUUGUUUAUCGUUGGAAAACCGCACAUGACUGUGAUAGCUUUCGGCUCGAAUGUCCUCGACAUCUUUGAGGUGAACGAUAUAAUGUCGUCGAAAGGGUGGCACCUGAGUGCUUUGCAGAGACCUAACAGGUAAACCCUAGUUUUUACUACCUAUUGUUUAAUCUCGUGCGAUGCAUGACAAAGAAAAGCUAAAAAGCAAUUUCAUUUAAAAAAAUAUCUUCUUUCCCCCCACACCCCCCCCAACAUAAAAAACCUUUUCUUUUCUUCUUUUUUUUUUUUUUCUGUUUUGGAAACAUGAUACUGCUUUCAAUUUUGCAACUUAAGAUCAAUUUUCAACUUUUAGGCCAAAUUGUCCCUACGCUGUGGGGCGGAGAUGCACAAUUUCAAAUGUGCGCAGUGAUAAAAACAAUUCAUUGACGAAUGUUUUUCGAGAUUAAAUGAUAGUUUUUGUGUGCGCGCGCGCGCGCAAUAAGGUCUAUAAAGGACUAUUGGAAAACUUUAUGUAUCUAUAGAAAAUUAUAAUGCACGGUAUAAAGGAUAAAUCAAAGUAGAAUGCUACGGAGACCAUGAUUGUAGCGAACUAGAGAUUGAGAUGAAUUAAAUAAACCGAGAAUAUCGUCCGUGCACUCUGCUAAUGUUUGAUCUUUAUUGGACUACCUAAAUUUUUAUAUUUAUUCUACAUUAAUGUUAAAUUGUUUAUAACAUCUAACAAAUCACUUCUUCGCUCAGCCUUCAUAUUUGCGUGACCCUUCAACACGUUACUGUUUUCGAAGACUUCCUCAACGAUCUAAAAGAUUCUGUUAAAAUUGUAAGCGCUCUCUCUCUCUCUCUCUCUCUCUCUCUCUCUCUCUCUCGUUUUUUUUUUGUUUAAUUAUUUUCUGCAAUCCUCUUUACAUUUAUUUUGCCUCCCCUUUACUUAAUUCUCUGCGCUGUUCUAUGGCUUCUCUUUUAGGUAAAAGAGAACCCCGGCCCGAUAGACGGAGGGAUGGCUCCGAUCUACGGUGCGGCAGGGAAGAUGCCGGACCGAGGAAUGGUGCGGGAUUUGUUGGUGGAAUUCAUGGAUGGCACUUGCUAGGUGAGCUAUUGAGCUCUACACAAACAUCAUACAACACCAUCUUUUAUUCUUCAUCUCUAUUUCUGUUAACCACAUUUACAAUAAAAACAUGUGCUGAAUAUCUCCAAGUGAUUUCUAUUUAUUCACUCCCUGUGUUAGCAUAUAACCGAAUGGGUAUAAAAUUGUAACAUGUUGUACAUGUUAAUCUGUGUAUUUUCAUUUCUACUCCUGUUGCCACAUUUACAAUAAACAUAUGCUGAAUAGCUUUUAGUGAUUUCUAUUUGUUUACUCCCGUGUUAGCAUAUAGUCAAAUGGGCAUAGAUUGUAACGUGUCGUACAUGAUGAUCUGUGUAUCUGCGCUGCUUGACUUGUUUAUACAAUGGUAAAUGCAAUUUCAUAUCCGUGCUGAUGAAUCCCAUUGAGUGGUUUUAUGUCCUUGGAUGUUUCUGUGUUGAAAUUUAAUGCUAAACUUAAUUCUCUGUUCGUAUGGUAAUGCAAUUUCAUAUCUGUGCUGUUGUGUGUCCUUGAAUGUUUCAGUGUUGAAACUUACGACUAAACUUAAUUCUCUAUUCGAAUGUUACCUUACAAUCCCCAUAAGCUUUUGGAUUGUACUUCUAGAAUCGGGAUCCAAUAACCACUACUGGAUGUGAGUAGGGAUGCAAACGGAUCUGGAUUGGUGGAGCUCACACGCCAAUCCGCCCCGAAUUGGGCAGUAAACGAGAGAAAAUAAACUGAAACAAGAAUAAUUUUAUGAUCCGAGAUGAAUUUGGGAAGAAAUUUUGACCCGUCCCGAAUCCGUCCCGAAAACUAUUUAUAUUUUAAAAAAAUAUUCCUAAAAAAUAAUAUAUUUACAAACAAGGUUUAAAAUACAAAUAAUUUAUUGCUUUCAUUUUUCAUGUAUUUAAAAUUUUUGAAUUUUAUUUUGAAUUGUGAUUAACAUUUUUAAUUUUUAUAAUUGAUAUUAUUAAUUAUAUAUAUAAUAUUAUUAAAAAUUAUUAUUUUAUAUUUUAUAAAAUAUUAAUAAUAUUAUAAUUUUAUAAAAAAUAUUAGUUCGUGGGGCAGAUUCGGAAACCGGCGGGAGGCAGGUUACGAGGCGGGGCGGAUUAUGGAAUAUAACUUUUAAUCCGUCACGAAUUCGAGACGGGAGGUGGGGCGGAAGGCGGGACAGGGCUCUUACCCCCAGAUCCGUCCCGUUUUGUAUCCCUAGAUGUGAGUUGAAUUGGUCGUUCGAUGGAGCCACAGAAGUUUAAGCAAUUGGAUUAUUCUACGAGGAUCCAUGCCCAACAAUCUGGGUAAUAGGAAAGUCGGACUGUUUGGGCUUGUUCGGCUUCGAUAAAGGCUUUUUUAAAAGUGUUAUUUGAUUAAAACUAUUUUAAAAAGUAUAGAGUAUAUUUUCAUUAGAAUUAUCUAACGGCUUCAUAUUACUGCAGUAAGUGGUGUCAAUAUCUUAUUUACCGUGGGGUACAUUAAAAUUACCAAUUUUUGAGCUAUACGAAUAUUAGACAAAUAGUGUUGAAAAUUAUAAAAUUUAAUUUUUAAAAAUUUUAAAUAAUCUAAUUCAUGUUAUGGUAUUGUACUCCGAUUUGGAUAUUUUAAAUAACACGGGAAUAAACAGCUCUGCUCUUUUUUCCAUUGUUGCUUAACUCAAUAUAUUAGUACGUGUAAGUCUAAGGAAAAUUUUUUUUUCUUAUGGUAAACUUGAAUUUGCCCCCUUAUAAUGAGCGUCUCUUCACUUUACCAAUCUUUAGUUUAAAAAUGUUGCACUUAAUUAUUCUAUAAUAUAGUAUAUUUUUACAUUUUUAUUUUCUAAUUUAAAAGAUAUACUUAACUAUCUUAUAAUUUUAUUAUUUUUAUUUUACUAUAAAAAUCUACUACCAAAUAGGAUACUAUUCUAUACUUUUUUAAAAAAAUUAUUUUAUUAUUCUAUUUGAGAUUGAUUUUUUUCGUUGAAACAAAAGUAAAAUUAUAAAAUAAUUAAAUGUUAUUUUUUAAAUUAUGGAAUAUCAAAAUAUAAAUAAGCUAUGCCACGGAGUAAAGAUUUGGCCUUUCUCUUAUUAAGGCUUAGUUUGAUAUUGAUAUCUAUCUAACGCUAUUAGAUAAAAUAAAAUGAAGUUGAGAAAAAAAAAAGUAGGAAUAUAUUUCUGUAUUCUCCGAUAGGACCGUAGAAAAUAUAUCAUAACCAACUCAUCGUGAUAUAUGAAAAAUAAUAUUAUGUACGGAAACAAACAGAAUAUUUUUCUAACGUACUUUCUCACCGCACGUAACAUAAUCUCCCCGCAAUCCCAAACAAAGGCUAAACCCUGUUCAUCCUUUUCUUCAAGAGUAUCCAAUUACCCAACAACGACGACCCCAACCCCGAGUCAGGUUUAAACUUUAAACCCCAUGCUGAUGCGGUGGACCACUGUUUAGUGUUCACCCUGUCUCUCUCUGCCACUAUUCAGCGCUGUGGCCACUUUCUCUCUCUACCCGUGAGUGUUUUUUUUUUUUUUUUUUUUUUUUUUUUUUUUUUUUUUAGUGAACUUCGAAUAUUACUUCUAUAAUUUCGUAAUUUCUCACUUUAAUACUAUAUGAUUUAAAGUAUAUUAAGUUAGUAUUAUGUAAUUUUAUUUUUAUCUUUUCGUCAGCUUUUUCGUUAAUAUUUUAUUAAAUUAUAUACAAAAAAAUUUCAGAUACCGUACAUAGGUUUAUCGAAUAUUCACUUUAGUAUUCUUUAGCCUUAAUUUUGUCACUGAUUUAACGAAAAAUAUUAAUAAAAUUGAUAAUAAAAAAAUAAAAAUGAAACCAUAUAUCAUUAAAUUGAUACAUUUUAAACCACAGGUACUAAAGUGAUAAAGUGCGAAAGCACAAGGUGGUAUUUGAAGUUUUUUUUUUU